rnacentral:lncRNA from 1 species
CCGACAUUCAAAUACACUUCCGCCACCUGCUAGCUACAUGAGAAGAAAUUACGUCAAAAUAUAGCUUGGGGGAGAGCAUCCCCAUUUAUCCAGCUAAGUGUUUCUACUCGCGUUUAUACUUUACUCAAAUAAUAAAAAGAUGCAUAAUCAUAAAAACCCAAAUAAAGAUUUUAUGCUUAUAUAUAUAUAUGCUUAGUUUGCUAAAUAAAUAAAUAAAUAAAGUUUGCUAUGAACCCUCAUGAUAAGCUCUCACAUGGAAAUGAUGAAUAGUUGCUCUGCCAUGACUAGUUCUCAAAAUUGAAUUCUCUCUCAAGUUUAGGCAUGACUGUUAUGAAUUAAGAUUUGCUCUAAACCUGAACUUGUGGGAAGAGUACUUGAUCUAAAGUCUAAGUCAUUAACGGAUAUGAUAUGGGAAGGUUGAGCUGCUGUUUAUCUGUUCCUAGAGAUGCUAGAAUUCUGGAGAAUUUUAUCUUUGAAAAUCUUUAAAAUGUUGCAUGAUGAGUUCCUGUAUGAUGAGAGUUUAAAAUCCUACCAAAGCCACAUAUACAUGCUUAUUAGACUAUGAACCGUACAUUUACUUUUUACUACUUAUGAGCAUUGAGUGUGGUCAAGUUAUAUAGACCCUUUGGAACUUGUCAUACGGUUAAAAUCAAGAUUCACUUGCACGUUCACUCAUACAUGCUACUUCUACUCUGGAAGUACGUAUCCACAUACAUCCACUCAUUUCCAUCUCCAGAUUCACCUAAAAUGAUUCUACUCCUAUCCGGGAGAGAAUAGCCAAAAACAUUAUCCUAUCCCUAUUAUUCCCCGUGAAAUAAAUGCUCGAGAUAUUUUGGUUACUACCACUUGCUACAUUAUUCCAGGAGGAGGAGUGCUCUAAAAAAAAGAGGGGAAAAAAUACGAGGAAAUAAAAAGGGGUAAGUGCCCGGAACCUCGAAGAAAAUAAAAAGUGAGACGAGAGGUAAAAAUGGACAAGUGUCCGACAAUAGAAUUAGGGGUACAAGAUACGCACCUGAGAGAAAUAAAAAGAAAAUAGAGAGCAUCUCAUUCUCCUCAAAAAGCUUCAAAGUGCAAGAAAGGUAUGUAUCCCCUCAAAAGAGCAAACGUAGAAUUAGACUUUCACCAUUGUUUUCACCAUUAUCACCAUCAUCACCCUACACCAUUCAUUCGCCACACAUGCACAUCUUGAUUUGACUUAUUGACUUGUUUCUCUAGAUCCAUGGUUUGAUUAUGCAAUCAAUGUCUUGUAAGUAUGUAUUAUCUGUCUCCCACCUAUGAGCUCCAGAUAUCAAAACCUUAUUAGAGUAGGGUGAGAGAGAAGGCAAUAUCACUAUGCCUCAUACCGAAAAUACCACAUACUUUGAGAGAAGGCAUAUACCAUUACUGCCUUGGAAAGGAUCCAGAAAUACCACAAAAGAGAGAUUGGAGAGAGUCAUACAAGGAAUCUCUGAGUUUUAUUUGAAAAUCUGCAAAAACUCCAGAGCUAUAGCUGAUCAAGAAUACGAGACAUGGCGCUUGACUUGACCAUUCUAUCUUUUAACUGCUCGAGACACAAGUGACGGUUGCAAGCCCCAUGGUGAAAGGUAAAAUGAGUAAGUUUUAAGUCUUAACAGUUUACUUUAACUCAGAGAUGAGAUCUUGCUUGAACACAUGUGUACUUUCAAGGCAUGAAACCACCGCAGAAACUCUUGAGACCAUCAUUGCUCAGGGACGAGCAAGAGGUAAGCUUGGGGGAGUUGUUGACGGUCCUUAAGUACGAAAUAUAAUCAUCAAAUAAGUAAAGAAAAGGAUCCAAAUACAACCAACACCAAAACUUAGGGUUUUAUCUAACAGAAUUCCACGAGUUUUGGUGUUUGUCUAUUUCUGCAGGGGGUUAUCAGGAAAUAUGGAGGAGAGGCCCACAUGUCGGGUUUACAUAGAGAUAUUAUGUGCCGCGCAAUUUUCUAUCAUCUAGAAGACUCCAGAAGCCACGGGAACGAAUGGGAGGGCGAUCGGGCCCGGGGGUAGGGUGCCCGCCCUCCCCCCUAGGGCGCCCGCCCUGAGUUAGAGUCCAAUCAGGACCCGUCUCGUGGAUUACGCUCCACCGACCUAAAAGAUCAAGGAUAACCGUUCAAUUAAUGUUGGUUUGAUCCGACGGCCCAGAUUCACUUGAGGGGACUAUAUAAGCAGACUGCCUGGCCCCUGGAGGAGAACAAGUUCAUUGUAGAGUUGAGAGGUGCCCUCGAAGGAUAACCUUUCCUCUACAUAGACAGAGCAAAAGCUAGGGUUUGGAGAUGAGAGCUCUCCUCUCAUCUCUAAACUAGAGUAGAUCUAGAUAGUAGCGAGAUGGAGAGCGAGGGAGGAUUGGAGGAGAGGCUGGCCUAUCGGUUCUUCCUCCGGUUGUACUUCGCAAUGAUCAAGUUCUAAUCAAGCUUGCUCAUGGGAUGACUCUGGUAAUCUACUUCUAUUUCAUUAUGCAAUUACUAUUCAUGUAUGUUCUGGUUCACAACUCUUUUGAGUACUUUUAGUCUAUAGGACCCUAUAGGUUAGAGUUGUAGUAUAGGUGUAAGCGUGGUACUUAGACAUAGAUUACUUGUGGAUAUCCCCUGUCUAGCUAGAUCGUGUGGUAGGCCGCGUAGGUGACAGUUACGUUGGUCCCCUGUAGUCCACCUCCUGUUAGCAGGACGGGUAGGGUUUAUCGGCCUAUGGAUAAGCAUCCUUUGUGGUGUAUUCUUAUCACGUGGUUCAUCCCAGACAUAGACAUACCCCUUUGAAGUAGAGAAACCAUAGUUAUCCUCUCUAUUCUCCUACCAUCGCCCAUAUAUUAGAUUGCUCUACUCUCUAUUCCCAUAUAUUUUACCUUUAAUAUUGUUCUUAUUCAAUUCUACCAUCUUUCCUAUUUACACUUACCCAUCUAUCUAGGUUAAGUUAGAGCGUAGAUCAGUUCUUCCGUUUCCCUAUGGAUACGAUAAAACCUUUAACCGGGUAAAAGCUACAACGGUAUCCUUGCGCUUGCGGAUUUAUCUAUGUGCGUAUAAAUACCAUAGUACACUCUAGUGCCAUACUGGAGAUGACAACCUAGUAUUCAAGUGGUGUUAGCAAGUGUCAACAGUAACAUCAUUAAUCCCUCAAAAGAAAACCAGAAAUACCACCUACAUUGAGAGACUUGAGGGUGUCAUACAAAUUAAGCUCUAAGUUUUAUUUUGAAAACUUAUAAAAACUCCGAAAUAACGACUUUGCAAAGAAUUUGAGACAUAGUGCUUGACCUGAUUGUUCUGUCUUCUGAUUGCUCAAGACUCAAGCAAAAGCGAUAAAGCCCCAUGGUUAAAGGUAAAACGGGUAAGUUUGAAAUUAGAGCAAGUAUUAACUAAUCUAGAGGAGAAUCUUUAUUUGGGAGCAUGUGUACUUGGAAACAAUGAAAACAUCAUAGCAACUCUUGAUCCAAAUACAUAUACUGCUUAGGCAUGGUUUGCCAAGGGACUAGCAAAAGGUAAGCUUGGAGGAAUUAUUGACGGUCGAUAACGUCAACUUUUAUUACAACUUUAGACCUCAAGGAAAACAUGAAAACACACUAGUCUAGGGUUUUAUCUGACAAUUUCCAUGAGUUUUGCAUAUUCUGUAUUUUCCAAGGUAAAUUUUAGGAAAGCUGAAAAGAGGGACUCUAGUGCAAAAUAAACACGAAACUUAUCCACCACGGGAAACAUUGCGGGAAGACUCAAGAAGGAUGGAGAAGACACACGAAGCAAUGGGGGGCCUGGCAGCAGCUAGGUGGGGCCGACUAGCCCAACCAUAGUGCUGGCCGGCACCCCCCUUAGGGUUUUGGCCCCCCUCUUCUAGAAGCUUCCUCCACCGCCUCUCCUGAUGCAUCUCGGCCCUUUGUUAAGUCAGUUUGAUCCUACGGCGCACGCGCAUCCCAUCGGACUAUAAAUAUAGGGGUAGAACCCCAGGAGAGAGCCAAUUCAUUAUUCCUCAUGGCCUCAAGCCAUCAAGCAUCAAGCGCCUUCAAGUUCAUCAAGAGCCUUCUAGUUCAUAGUUCUAGUUAGUUAGAUCAGAUGUAGAGGAGAUAUAGUUCUUCGUCAGGAUCUAGAGCCCCUGGCAUUGGUCUGGAGCGCAAGAGUUGGGUAAUAGAUCUAGUUCUUACUUUAUAGUAUUCAAUUGUAUAUUAGGGAGACUUUAUUCUUAAUAGAUUCAUAUGUUCUUAAUUGCAAUAGUCAUUGUCUACUUUGAAUAUAUGUCUAGGAUAGUUGGUUUAAUCUUAUUGAAUUCAUGUAAUUGCUCGUAUAGCAUUUACCAAAUUGAUCGUUGGGUAGAUGGUAGACAAUACGUAGACGUGGUGUCUAGAUACCUUGUUUAUCUGUGAGUGCACCCUGCCAUGUUAGGACAUGUGGUAGUCUGCAUAGUUGACAGCUGUGUUGGUUCCUCUGUAGUCCAGCCUCCAUACGUAGGUCUAGCAUGGGCGCAGUCGCAAAGGAGGUGACCCUUGUGUCUUAAUACCCUCAUUAGUUGAUGCCUCUUUACAUGUGAUUAUGAUAUAGGGUUGACUUAAUGAUGAUUUCUAGAUGUAAUUCCACUAACUACAGUUAUUCAUUGACAUAGUUAUAGAAUUACCUUAGAUCCAACUCGCUAGCUCUCAUCCAUUGGCUAACUAUGAUUAUGACUAGUAGAUGCUAUGAUGAUUAUCCUAAAUAAUGAUACUUGAUGAUUAUGCUAUCACUAUUAUUUAUCCAUAUUUAUCUUGUGACCUCUACCUGGUAUGAGUAGACUACAUGACUUGGGUAAUAUCAUUUAUUCAUCCUAUAUAGUUUCUUAUCAAUAUAAUAGAUUACAGUUUAACACUUAGCCUUCCUAGUGGUAUAAAUAUAAAUCGACAACCUGGAUACUUCCGUAGGUAAAAUGCUACAACGGUAUAAUUAUCUAUCCGCUUGCAGAACCCAUUUAGUUUAUAAUUAUAUUCAUAUCUUUUAUUCUCUGUCUAGUUGCAGUAGAACAUGUGAAUCUAUAUUAAAUUCCUAGCAAUACAAUUAGGGAUGACAACCUACUUCGUGCUUAGGAAUGUUAGAUUGAUUAGUUGCUAUUUGACAAAUUAAUUAUAUACCAUACAUUUAUGGUGUUGUUGCUACGUGUAGGGUUUAUCUCUAUUUUUAGUAAUGACGGUAGUAAAUGUCAACACUCAUCAUCCGCAACUUGCCGUUGCAUCUGGCCGACUCGGCCAGGGCAUGGCUGGAGCACCUUCCCGAGUGAUUGAUCGAAAGUUGGGUCGACCUUGUUGGGACCUUCGUCUGGAAGUUCCAGGGCACAAACAUGAACCCCAGCAACUCCUAGGACGUCAGGAGCUACCACCAGAAGCCUGAUGAAUAUCUCAAGGACUUCAUCAGAUGCUUCUCCAACAGUGCACCAAGCUCCCCAACAUCACGGACUCUGAUGUCAUUAGGGCAUUCAUCACCGGCACCACCUGCAAAGAGCUUGCGCACGAGCUCGGACACAAGACCCCCACGAGCACGAGCCAGCUGCUAGACAUCGCCAACAACUUUACCUUCGGGGAAGAGGCUGUUGGAGCAAUCUUCUCCGACGACAAGGCCAUGGGGAAGUAGACGGACAAGGCCGCUGAGGCCUCGGGCUCCCGAGAUCCCAAGAAGAAGAAAAAGGGUCGAAAGGGCAAGCAGGGUUGGCAGGACGACAUCCUAGUCGCCGUGGCGCAUCACUAGAAUGCCAAACAACCUCCAGCCGGACCCAACCUCUUCAACGAGAUGUUGAAGAAGCCAUGCCCUUAUCAUAGGGGCCCCACCAAGCAUUCCCUAGAGUGCAUUGUUCUGCAUUGUUUCUACUCUGGUGCCCCUCCCAAGGAGAACACAGAAGAGCUGCCCAAGGACAAGGACGACGACGACCAUGGGGACGGUUUCCCCAAGGUCAAGAACUACUUCUUGAUCUUUGGGGGACGCGUGGCUCAGCUCACCGCAAGCUAGAGGAAGCACAAGUUUUGGGAGGUCUACGCGGUUAGCACGGCUACACCCACCUACCUCAAGUGGUCGGAGAAUGCCUUCACUUUCGACCGUGAUGACCACACGGAUCAAAUCCUAAACCCCGGGAGCUACCCCAUCAUCGCCGAGACCCACCUCACCAAUGUACUAAUGGACGGGGGCAGUGGCCUCAACAUUCUCUACGCCAAGACCCUGAGCCUCAUGAGGAUCAGUAAGUCUUAGCUAAGGGCCGACGCCUCGCCUUUUUACGGCUUGGUCCCUUGGCACCGAGCACACCCCCUCGGAUAGAUCCAUCUGCCCGUCUGCUUUGGGACUCCCGAGAACUUCAGAUGGGAAAUGCUCACCUUCGACCUGGUUGGAUUCCUCGGGACCUAUCACGCGAUUCUAGGGAGGCCAUGCCACGCCAAGUUCAUGGCGGUCCCCAACUACAACUACAUCAAGCUCAAGAUGCUGGGGCCCAAUGGCGCCAUCACCGUCAGCACGACGAGCUAGCACGCAUACCAAUGCAACAUCGAGUGUAUCAACCAGGCCGAGGCCAUAGUCGAGAUGGAGCUCUUGAUCGCCAACCUCCAUAGGUUCUCUUAGGACGUCCCCGACCCCAAGCACCAUGCUGGGAGCUUCGAGCUAGCAGAGGAGACCAAGCUCAUCUUCCUCAACCCUGAGGUAUUCGAGGGUAGGGUGUUGAGGAUCAGCUCGACCCUCGACCCCAAAUAGGAAGUAGUGCUUGUUGACUUUCUCCAUGCGAAUGCCGACGUGUUUGCGUGGAGUCCCUUAGACAUGCCUAGCAUACCGAGAGAAGUCGCCAAGCACUCCUUGGACAUCUGAGCCGGCUCCAAGCCCAUGAAGCAACGCCUGUGACGAUUCGAUGAGGAGAAGCACUGAGCAAUUGGGGAGGAGAUUCAGAAGUUGCUGGCGGCUAGGUUCAUCAAGGAUGUAUUCCAUCCUGAGUGGUUAGCUAAUCAUGUACUAGUCAAGAAGAAAAAUAGAAAAUGGAGAAUGUGUGUAGAUUAUACUAGACUGUAUAUUCUUAAGAACCCUUUUACAUUACCAUGUAUUGACCAAAUAGUUGACUCUACUACAGGAUGUGAAACUUUAUCACUUCUUGAUGCAUACUCUGGUUAUCACCAAAUUAAAAUGAAAGAAUCCAACCAACUAGAGACCUCCUUCAUAACCCCCUUUGGAAUGUUUUGCUACGUAACCAUGCCAUUCGGCCUUAAGAACGCGGGGGCUACAUACUAGCGAUGUAUGCUCGAGGUCUUCGGAGACCUUAUAGGCCAAACCAUAGAAGCAUACAUAGAUGACAUCAUAGUAACGUCUAGGAAAGCUAGUAGCCUUGUAGCCAACCUAGACAAAACUUUCCAAAGCCUUAGGGUCAAAGGGAUUAAACUGAACCCCAAAAAUGUGUUUUUGGGGUUCCUCAAGGCAUGCGCCUUGGCUUCAUUGUCUCUGAAUGAGGGAUCGAGGCCAAUCAUGAGAAAGUCUCAGCCAUCACAAAUAUGGGCCCAAUUCGUAAUCUCAAGGGGGUGCAGAGGAUAAUGGGGUUCCUUGCAUCCCUCAAUCGAUUUAUUUCUCAUCUUGGAGAGAAAGGACUACCUCUGUAUAGGCUCCUCAAAAAAUCUGAGCAAUUCUCCUAGACCCCCAAGGCCCAGGAAGCACUAUACAAGCUCAAGGCCCUUCUCACCAAUCCCCCCAUCCUGGUACCUGCAGCAGAGGGGGAGCCUCUACUUCUCUAUGUUGUAGCCACUGAUCAAGUGGCCAGCACAGCUAUCAUGAUCGAGAGGAAGGAAGAAGGGCAUGCCCUGCCGGUCUAAAGAGCGGUAUAAUUCGUUAGCGAGGUACUCUCCAACACUAAGACCCGAUACCCACAGAUCCAAAACCUACUAUAUGCAGUGGUCUUGGCACGGCGUGAGCUUCACCACUACUUUAAGUCUCACCCGGUCUCGGUAGAUUUGUCUUUCCCUUUAUGAGAGGUAAUCCAAAACCGGGAGGCUAGUGGUAGAAUCGCCAAGUGGGCUAUGGAACUCAAGGGUGACGGGAUCACCUACGAGCCUCGGAAGGCCAUAAACUCCCAAGUGCUGGCUGAUUUCAUAGCUAAGUGGACCGGAACCAAGCAUCCUCCGCCCUAGAUCCAAUCAGAGUGCUAGACCAUGUACUUUGAUGGGUCCCUAAUGAAGACCGAGGCUGGCGCAGGCCUCAUCUUUAUUUCCCCCUCGGCGUAAGGAUGCGAUAUGCCAGCUGAAUCAACUUUUCAGCCUCAAACAACAAGGCUAAAUACGAGGCCCUUUGAACUCGGAAUCAAGCGACUUGAUGUCCGAGGCGACUCAAGGUUGGUCAUUGACCAAGUCAUGAAGGAGUCAAACUAUCUUGACCCCAAAAUGGAGGCAUAGUACAAGGCAGUCCGACGCCUGGAGGAAAGGUUCGAUGGCCUCGAACUCAACCAUGUGUUGAGAAAGUACAAUGAGACCGCCGACACGCUCACGAAAAUGGCAUCCGAAUAGGCUCUACCCCCUUAGACUUUUUUACAAGCAACCUCCACAAGCCUUUUGUUGGGUAUUUUAAACGCAAACAGAAAAAUCCGCAAGCGCACUGAUACCGAUGUAGCUUUCACCCGGGAGUAUUCCAGAGUAUCGAUUUUCCACAGGGAACGUGAGUGUACUAAUUAAGAUUCAAGAUCGCCCAAGGAUAACUAUAUAAUUAUUUUUGGUGGGAAGAGAGGAAGUUUCCUGAGAGUUCUCUAGUUGAUCUAAGAAUCAAGAAUUACUUCAAGAUUUUCUAUUCGGGACAUCAGAACACUAACCACAGAAAGAGAUGAGAAGGGAGCUAGGAAGCUCUGACUACGGUCCUACAAACACCGAUCCGAAUGAGGUGGAAUACGUCGACCGUUAGGGCUGUCACUACCCUAGGGCUACCACAACAAUCCGCAGGAUUGUGUGCAAUUCUAGGUAAUUGCAAGACUAAACACCACGUCUAAUCUAUUAAUUACUACUCUAGCGUUAUAAAGACUAGAGCACUUGAUGCAAGCAGAAAUCCAAUAUAUAACUUGAAUGUAAAUAAAAGUAAUUAAAGAACUCAGGAAUUAUGAAUUGAAGAACUUGGAGAACGAUGAAGAACGAACCAGUUGCUGCAAAAGUAUAAUGUUGAGGAAGAUCCGACAGAUCCGACUCCUCCUCCGCUCUCCUCUUCUCUCUCCCUAUUUUCUAGAUUACAACUAGAACGAACUAGAACUAGAACUAGAGGAACAAGAACUAGAUGAACUAGAACUAGAGGAACUAGAACUAGAACUAGAUGAACUAGAGGGAUCCUCUCUACUUGGAUGAAGAAUUGAAACCCUAACUUUGAUUCUGUAGAAGAGGUAUGAUCUCUAGGGUCCAGGGGGCCUUGCUUAUAUAGUCUUUUUAGAUGAAUCUGGGCCGCCGGAUCAAUCCGACAUUAAUCGCAUGGUUUUCCUUGAUCCCUUAGGUCAGGGGAGCACGAUCCGUGAAACGGGUCCUGUUUGGACUCUGUAGCUGGGUGGGUGCCCUGGUCCUUAGGGCGGGCGCCCUAGGACAGGCCCCGUUCGGCCUCCGCUUCGUUCCUGUGGCUUAUGCUAUCUUCUAGAUGAUAGAAAAUUGUGCAGCACGUUAAUAUCUCUAUGUAAACCCGACGUGUGGGCCUUUCCUCCGUAUUUCCUGAUAACCCCCUGCAGAAAUAGACAAACACCAAAACUCAUGGAAUUCUGUCAGAUAAAACCCUAAGUCUGGGUGUUGGUUGCAUUUGGAUCCUUUUCCAUGAUUUGUUGAUGGUUAAAGGUGAGCAUUAAGGACCGUCAACAAGCUCCCCCAAGCUUAACCUUUGCUCGUCCCUGAGCAAAGAUAAACUCAAGAGUUUCUGCAGUGGUUUCGUGCCUUAAAGAUAUACAUGCGUUCAAAUAAGAUCUCAUCUCUGGGUUAGAGUAAACUGUUAAGAUUUAAACUUACUUGUUUUGCCUUUUACCAUGGGACUUGUAACCGUCACUUCUGUCUUGAGGAGUUAAAAGAUAGAACGGUCUAGUCAAGUGCCAUGUCUCUUAUUCUUGAUCAGCUAUAGCUCUGUAGUUUUUGCAGAUUUUCAAAUAAAACUCACAGAUUCCUUGUAUGACUCUCUGAGAUCUCUCUUUUAUGGUAUUUCUGGAUCCUUACCAAGGCAGUAAUGGUAUAUGCCUUCUCUCAAAGUAUGUGGUAUUUUUGGUAUGAGGCAUAGUCGCAUUGCCUUCUCUCUCACCCUACUCUAAUAAGGUUUUGAUAUCUGGAGCUCAUAGGUGGGAGACAGCUAAUACAUACUUACAAGACAUUUAUUGCAUAGUCAAACCAUGGAUCCAGAAAAACAAGUCAAUAAGUCAAAUCAAGAUGUGCAUGUGUGGCGAAUGAAUGGUGUAUGGUGAUGAUGGUGAUAACAAUGGUGAAAGUCUAAUUCUACUUGUGCUCUUUUGAGGGGAUACAUACCUUUCUUGCUCUUUUGAAACUUUUUGAGGAGAAUGAGAUGCUCUAUUUUCUUUUUCUUUUCUCUCAGGUGGGUAUCUUGUACCCCUAAUUCUACUGUCGGACACUUGUCCAUUUUUACCUCUCGUCUCACUUUUUCUUUUCUUCGAGGUUCCGGGCACUUGCCCCUUUUUAUUUCCUCGUAUUCACUUUUUUCAGAGCACUCACCCUCCUGGAAUAAUGUAGCAAGUGGUAGUAACCAAAAUAUCUCGAGCAUUUAUUUCACGGGGAAUAACAGGGAUAGGAUAAUGUUUUUGGCUAUUCUCUCCUGGAUAGGAGUAGAAUAAUUUUGGGUGAAUCUGGAUAUGGAAAUGAGUGGAUGUAUGUGGAUGCGUACUUCCAAAGUAGAAGCAGCAUGUAUGAGUGAACGUGCAAGUGAAUCUUGAUUUUAACCACAUGACAAGCUCCUAAGGGUCUAUACAGCUUGACCACACUCAAUGCUCAUAAGCAGUAAAAAGUAAAUGUAUGGUUCAUAGUCUGAUAAGCAUAUAUAUAUGGCUGUGGUAGGAUUUUAAACUCUCAUCACACAGGAACUCAUCAUGCAACAUUUUAAAGAUUUUCAAAGAUAAAAUUCUCCAGAAUUCUAGCAUCUCUAGGAACAGAUAAACAGCAGCUCAACCUUCGCAUAUCGUAUCCGUUAACGACUUAGACUUUAGAUCAAGUACUCUUCCCACAAGUUCAGGUUUAGAGCAAAUCUUAAUUAAUAACAGUCAUGCCUAAACUUGAGAGAGAUUUCAAUUUUGAGAACUAGUCAUGGUAGAGCAACUAUUCAUCAUUUCCAUGAGAGAGCUUAUCAUGAGGGUUCAUAGCAAACUUUAUUUAGCAAACUAAGCAAAGAUAUAUAUAUGAGCAUAAAAUCUUUAUUUGGGUUUUUAUGAUCAUGCAUCUUUUUAUUAUUUGAGUAAAGUAUAAACGUGAGUAGAACACUUAGCUGGAUAAAUGAGGGUGCUCUCCCCCAAGCUGGAUUUUAAUGCAAUUUCUUCUAAUGUAGCUAGCAGGUGGUGGAGGUGUAUUUGAAUGUCAGCAGCACCCUGACAGCGAUUAGGAUGUCCUCCGUCAGCUAGUCUUCUUUGAUCCUUGAAUUCUGUGGAGCUCAAAUAGACAACAAAGCUUUGUGGAACUGGUUAAGUGUUAGCAUAAAUAUCUAGCCUUUAUCAUGUUGAGCCUCCUCAAUAAAUAUUACUCUCUUUAGUAGGAUCAUAAAUCUAUUUUUAUAAUUUUAUUUUUGAUAGGACAGGAAUAUAUUUAUUUCAUUUUUACGCCAUCAUAGUGAAUGUACUUAUGGGUUUUAUGCCAUGAGCAUACUCACAUGGGGCUUACUAUUUUUAACAUUUUUAUUUUCUUUUCAAGAUGAUAUGAACCUGAUUAACUAAGCAAACUAUUGAAAAGAUAACUACCAAGUUUACCUCUUGGCAAGGCGUUCGGUGUGUUUAAGUCCUCCGAACGGGACUCUCCGUAUUCUCAGUCGUCCUGGGAUUUUCUGGAUGGCGUAGUCGGUGAUUCCGGCGGCGCCUGCUCUUCUUGUAUAACUAUCUUCUUUCUCCACACCUGACUCGGUGCACUUCUCCUUCGUAGUCCGCCCAUCCGUCCUUGAUGAUUUUCCUCCUCUAGUUGCAUUUGUGUCAUCUUCUUCUUGUCCUGACCUGCUUAGAGUCUUCAACUAUAUAGUUAGGGUCAGUAAAAUAGCGGCAUACCUUGUUAGAGGGAAAGUGCAUGUGGACUUCUCUGGAUCCAAUCUAGAUGAUUGCUUUAACGGUGCUGAGGAACGGUCUCCCAAGGAUGAUGGGUGGAUCGUACUCGUCUUCUCCCAUGUCAAUAACCUUCAACCUUUCGGAAUGUCUGAUCUGCCUUCUGGAGCUGAAUGUAUGUCGGUUUUAGGGGCAUGGUUUCGAACAGGAGCUGAUAGGUGACUGCGGCCAUUAUGUUGACGCCUGACCCGGUGUUGCAAAGCGUCUUCUGGAAGUUGUAUCCAUUAAUAGAGCACUGGAUGCUUGGCAUAUCUGGGUCAUCCUUUUUGGUCAAGAACGGUGACUUAAAUCGACGAUCUUGACCUCCUUGAACUGCAGUGACCAUCUUAGCUGACUCGGUCCACAUUUGCUUGUUCCUAUUCCUCCUGUUGGUCAUCUUCCUUGGUUCAUGUCAGGAUUGCUCUGAGAUUUGUGUAGUCUUGUUCUUGAAGGAAAACGUCUCCUUCCUCCCCUUGAUGUAGAAACUGAUCUUGGUAGCACUAGCAUAGAUGACAGCUCCCGAGGUGUUCAGGAAUGGCCUCCCCUGGGCAUAAUUUUGACGCUGGAGCCAAAGUUGUAGAGUGCUUCUGGGAAGUCCACCAUGCCGAUGGAGAUCGGAAUGACGGUGCAUCCUGGAUCGCCUCUCUUGACCGGUAGAAGGUCAAUAAUUACUUCCACAACGGGGUUACUCUAGUAGUUACGUCCUCGUAGAUCUAGGCUCUUCACUUGGUGGAGUCUGGGUGUUGUAAAAAUCCUUCAUAUUUUGCUUGAAGUGUACCUGCUCAUAGAGACAGGGUAGAGGUCAAGUGCAUGGGCCCUGUUGGUGGAAAACACCAACAGAACCAAAAGUGUAUUUGUUCUUCUCUAACCUUAAGCAUAGUGAGCAAGACAAAGUUGAUGGAUAAUAAGAUCAUGAGUGUAGCAUUUAAAGCAUUUGUCAGAUCAGAUUGCUCAACCUAAUGGAAAGAUAAUCUAUCUAUACUUAUAUAUUUUUAUAUAUCUUCCAAAGAUUGCGUGUGCAAUAUUUUAGCUCAUAUUAGGAGUAUGGAAUCACAAAGGUGGAAGGACUAAACAUAUUGAAUCGACUGGGUUGGUUAAUCUAGAGUUGUAAAUCAUACAUAUUUGUCUCUUUUAUUCAUGUGAACGCCAGAACCAAGGAGAAGCUUAUAAAAGUGAUAGUCAAGUACCUUAAGAUGUUACCUUAAUUGAAAAGUGAUGGUACAGUAUCACCUAGUGGAAGCUUUCCUUUCUUAGCGGUUGUGCAUCGUGUUUGUAGCACCCUCCAUGGAUCAUCUCUUGUGAGCUAUGCCUUCCUUGUGUAAAUUGUUAAACUUCAUGUGUCUCUCUCUUUGUCUCCAAUGUGAGUUUAUAUCAGGACCUCCUAGGUUGAUAUUAAAAGUUUUCCUGCAGGAGUUAGUCCAACAAAAUAUCCAAUAUCUACUAUAGCAUACUAUUGGCUCAAAAAUCAACCUAGACACCAUGUCUAAUUUGAUUUAGAAGGGCAUUUUAACCUAAGCAUCAUGCUUAAUUUAAACUCCCUUGGAAGUAAGAUCAUCAGUCCUAAACUAAGCACCAUGCUUAAUUAAGAGAUAAAUGAAACUACUCCAAACCUAGACAUGCGCCUUGGCUUCAUUGUCUCUGAAUGAGGGAUUGAGGCCAAUCAUGAGAAAGUCUCAGCCAUCACAAAUAUGGGCCCAAUUCAUAAUCUCAAGGGGGUGCAGAGGAUAAUGGGGUUCCUUACAUCCCUCAAUCGAUUUAUUUCUCAUCUUUCAGAGAAAGGACUACCUCUGUACAGGCUCCUCAAAAAAUCUGAGCAAUUCUCCUAGACCCCCAAGGCCCAGGAAGCACUAUACAAGCUCAAGGCCCUUCUCACCAAUCCCCCCAUCUUGGUACCCGCAGCAGAGGGGGAGCCUCUACUUCUCUAUGUUGUAGCCACCGAUCAAGUGGCGAGCACAGCUAUCAUUAUCGAGAGGAAGGAAGAAGGGCAUGCCCUACCGGUCCAAAGAGCGGUAAACUUCGUUAGCGAGGUACUCUCCAACACUAACACCCGAUACCCACAGAGCCAAAACCUACUAUAUGUAGUGGUCUUGGCACGGCGUGAGCUUUGCCACUACUUUAAGUCUCACCCGGUCUCAGUAGUUUUGUCUUUCCCUUUGGGAGAGGUAAUCCAAAACUGGGAGGCUAGUGGUAGAAUCUCCAAGUGGGCUAUGGAACUCAAGGGUGACGGGAUCACCUACGAGCCUCAGAAGGCCAUAAACUCCCAAGUGCUGGCUGAUUUCAUAGCUAAGUGGACCGAAACCAAGCAUCCUCUGCCCUAGAUCCAAUCAGAGUGCUAGACCAUGUACUUUGAUGGGUCCCUAAUGAAGACCGAGGCUGGCGCAGGCCUCAUCUUUAUUUCCCCCUCGGCGUAAGGAUGUGAUAUGCCAGCUGAAUCCACUUUUCAGCCUCAAACAACAAGGCUAAAUACGAGGCCCUUUGAACUCGGAAUUAAGCGACUUGAUGUCCGAGGCGACUCAAGGUUGGUCAUUGACCAAGUCAUGAAGUAGUCAAACUAUCUUGACCCCAAAAUGGAGGUAUGCUGCAAGGCAGUCUGACACCUAGAGGAAAGGUUCGAUGGCCUCGAACUCAACCAUGUGUUGAGAAAGUACAAUGAGACCGCCGACACGCUCGCGAAAAUGGCAUCCGAAUAGGCAAUACCCCCUUAGACUUUUUUACAAGCAACCUCCACAAGCCUUCUGUUGGGUAUUUUAAACGCAAACAGAAAAAUCCACAAGCACACGAAUACCGAUGUAGCUUUGACCCGGGAGUAUUCUAGAGUAUUGAUUUUCCACAGGGAACAUGAGUGUACUAAUUAAGAUUCAAGAUCGCCCAAGGAUAACUAUAUAAUUAUUUUUCGUGGGAAGAGAGGAAGUUUCCUGAGAGUUCUCUAGUUGAUCUAAGAAUCAAGAAUUACUUCAAGAUUAUCUAUUUUGGGAUAUCAGAACACUAACCACAGAAAGAGAUGAGAAGGGGGCUAGGAAGCUCUGACUACGGUCCUACAAACACCGAUCCGAACGAAGUGGAAUACGUCGACCGUUAGGGCUGUCACUACCCUAGGGCUACCACAACAAUCCGUAGGAUUGGGUGCAAUUUCGGGUAAUUGCAAGACUAAACACCACGUCUAAUCUAUUAAUUACUACUCUAGCGUUAUAAAGACUAGAGCACUUGAUGCAAGCAGGAAUCCAAUAAAUAACUUGAAUGUAAAUAAAAGUAAUUAAAGAACUCAGGAAUUAUGAAUUGAAGAACUUGGAGAACGAUGAAGAACAAACCACUUGCUGCAAAAGUAUAAUGUUGAGGAAGAUCCGACAAAUCCGGCUCCUCCUCCGCUCUCCUCUUCUCUCUCCCUAUUUUCUAGAUUACAACUAGAAUGAACUAGAACUAGAUGAACUAGAGGGAUCCUUUCUACUUGGAUGAAGAAUUGAAACCCUAACUUUGAUUCUGUAGAAGAGGUAUGAUCUCUAGGGGCCAGGGGGCCUUGCUUAUAUAGUCUUUUCAGAUGAAUCUGCGUCGUCGGAUCCCUUGAUCCCUUAGGUCGGUGGAGCACGAUCCGUGAAAUGGGUCCUGUUUGGACUCUGUAGCUGGGCGGGCGCCCUAGUCGUUUGGGCGGGCGCCCUGGGCCAGGCCCCGUUCGGCCUCCGCUUCGUUCCCAUGGCUUCUGGAGUCUUCUAGAUGAUAGAAAAUUGUGCAGCACGUUAAUGUCUCCAUGUAAACCCGACGUGUGGGCCUUUCCUCCGUAUUUCCUGAUAACCCCCUACAGAAAUAGACAAACACCAAAACUCAUGGAAUUCUGUCAGAUAAAACCCUAAGUCUGGGUGUUGGUUGCAUUUGGAUCCUUUUCCAGGAUUAGUUGAUGGUUAAAUGUGAGCAUUAAGGACCGUCAACACCUUCCACUGACUACAAGGAAGAUGAGGGACCAAUCGAUCCUCGAGCUAAACCUAUCCUCGGCUCUAAGGCCUCAGACGCCCCCGAGCCCAAAGCAAUGGACAUUGAGCAAGAAGAACCUAAGCUCGAUGACCAGCUGGACUAGCGCAUCCCGUACCUCCAAUACCUUGUCAACAGAACCCUCCCCUUGGAGACCACCGAGGCUCAGCGACUGGCUUGCCGGGCCAAGACAUUCAUCCUCCUUGACAGCGAGAUGUACAAACUUAGCCCCUCGGGAAUCCUCCUGCGUUGCAUCACCCUCCAAGAAGGCAGGAGCCUCCUCCGCACUGAGGUAACGGGCGCUGCAUGUAUAGAACAUGCAUCCUCUUCCUCAAAUCUCCCAUCAACCAUGCAAACGGAAGCACUUGAAGGAAUGAAACUAUUCCUUCAAGGCCUCAGAGGCUUCACCCAGCUGGUGCACUCGUGCGCACCCACAAGAAAAAAGCAAGAGCUUCUUCAUUAAAGACCUUGAUCUACCCACAUAAUCGUUGAAAGAGCCUCAGUAGGAGUACUCAAACUCCUCCACAGGCUUGGGGGCUAGUGUUGGGUACCAUAAAUCGGGAUACCUUAAUCCGGAGGGGAAAAAGUGGCAAAGGAAGACCUUAAGAUUAGCAAUACCCGCUUCCACUCGGCCUAACGGGGAGGCCCAAUCAAACGGAGGACUACCCACGACUCGCCCGAAGCAAUAAGCGACUCGCCCAAGCUUUGGUCUCGGAUGCAAUCAACGCCUCACCCUAGCCUUGGUCUUGAGCGCAAUCAACGCUUCGCCCAAGCCCUAGUCUCAAGCGCAAUCCACGCCUCGCCCAAGCCCUAGUCUCGAGCGCAGUCAAUGUCUCGCCUAAGCCCUGGUCUCGAGUGCAAUCAACACUUCACCUGAGCCCUGGUCUCAAGCGCAGUCAACGGUUCACCUGAGCCUUGGUCUCAAGCGCAAUCAACGCUAAAAUAUUGUUAUUGUCUAGGUCACGUGUCUAGAGACCGACAGAUUUAUUAUAUAAUUUAAAAUUAUAAAAUAUUGUCGUACUAGACCUAUGUCUGUGUUAGUGCAUUGAUACCGACCGGUUCCAAAAGCAUUUUUAAAAAUAAAAAAUAUGGUAGAAGCUAUGUCUCCCGAUUAACAUAGGUACGUGUUGACGGUAUUUUCACUAUGAUUUUUGACCACUAAAACUGUCAACAAUGGUUAAGUGUUGGGGAUAACACCAAGCAACAUACAAUUCACUUGGUUCCACAUGUCCAUGUCAUUAUUUGGAUGCAGGUGCAAACAGCCACUAAUCAAGCCUGAUCAAGCUUAAAUGAAGCAAAGAUGAUCAAGAACCAAAACCACCGCAGAUCAACAAUAGAUUGGAGAUGACAAGUGGGAACAACAUAUGGAGCAAGGUGGUGGGCCAAGCCCCCCCCCAAGGGUAGGUCGGCCGACCUACCAAUGGUGGGGUCCCACCAGGCCCACACUCCCACCGACCUUAGCAACUUCUAGAAGCUUGUGGGGCCGACAUGGAAGCAAUAGGUCAGUCGGCUGACCAUGACAUGUGGGCCCCCAAGGUCGGUUUGCCUCCACCGACCUUGCACAUGCUAAACAUGUGUGGAAAUACCUCCACCCUUGAUCUAUGGCGGUGGGAAGGUCGGUUUCAUCCAACGGUGGAGAAGAGGGAGCACGCGGAUCGCUGACGUGGCGCUAGAGUAGCCCCUACUCCAUCUCUCCCCUAUAAAUACCCCCUUAGAGAGCCUAGUUAAGCAUGAUGUAUCUUAGGAAGAGCUACUCUUAGCUAAGUGUGAUAAUAGAGGGAAGAGAGUGAGGAGUUCCCCGAGGAGGAGUCCCGGCUUGUCGGAGUCUUUUUCUAGGAGCACCUUAGUGGAUGCUUGUCUUCUAGUAAGUCUUCCUUCUAGUUGCCUUUCAUAUGAGUACUUCUAGUAUUUACUUUAUGUAUUAGUUUAUUUUAAGUAUACAACCGGCCUAUUGACACAUUACUUUGCCUUGUGUGAAGUGCUCAAAACCUUAGCUGGGUCUAGAGUAGUAGAAUUAGUGUAGACGUGGUGUCUAGACUAAGUCUGCCCUUGUGGACUUCUUGUCGCACCUGAAGAACGCCAGCAGUGAAGCGUGAUAGGCCUCUACUGGACAUUAGGAGUUCUCUUUAGUGUGUUGUUAGGCAAGUUGCAAAUAAUAGUUGGCCUGCAUGGUAGCUGCCUAGGGAAGUGUUUCGCCACACCCUUUUCACCUAUUGGCAAUAGUAGGAAGGGAGUUAACUCUCAGUAUACAUAGGAUAGCUUAGCCAAAAGCCAAAUACUAGAAAUACCUCUCAACCCAAUCCUAAACAAUUUGAUCAUCAUCCGACGAUUCAAUUGGUCUAGUUAAUCCACUUCUCAUUCCCCAUGGAAAAUACGAUACCUAGAAUACUCCUGGUGAAGUGCUACAUUGACCACCGUCCGCUUGCGGUAAAACCGUUUGCCACUUCUGGUGUCACACAAGUAUUUUUAGUGUUGUGCCAAGGACUGACAAUCCUAGGUAGUGACGCUAAGAAGAGUCAACAGAACGAACAAGAUGCAUGCUAUGCAAAAAUAUUUUAAAAAUAUGGUAGAAGCUAUGUCUCUCGAUUAAGAUAGGAAUGAACGAGAUGCAUGCUGUGCAAAAGUAUUUUAAAAAUAUGGUACAAGCUAUGUCUUUCUAUUAGAUGCAAACGAUAAUUUAUUUUUGACAAAUAGCAUUUCAUUUAUUUUAGCAGCAUGAAACUGCUAGUAAGCAAACAGAGUGCAUCGAUAUAGAAUUCAGUGCCUCAGCUAGCAAUGAGCUCCAUAAGAGCAAACAACCAAGAAUGGAUGGUGAACUGUUCCGGCAGCUAAAAGAGCUUGUCUAGCUAAACUAUCUGUUAGAAAUUUAGGCAGAUUCAGUAGUAAUUUAAUUUAGAAAAUUAGCAUGACAAUCAUGUUGAUGAAAUAAAAAAUGUGUUUGUGUGUUCUAAACAUGCACCAAGAAUCUAAUUCAAGACCUUGUUAGAAAGAAGAGUUAAGCAUUGUACCUAGCGGCACCUGAGCUGGUUGCGCUAGUUGACAUAGCACUUAUUGGUGUAGUCGUCCUGCUCAAUGCCAUGUAGGUAUGUAGCAGCGUCGAUCAACUCGAUGAUGUGUGUGGCCACCAGGAAUAAGAGGAUGAAGUGAGUAGUCGUGCCACCAGCGACACUCCUAAAAACGUUAUUGCCGCUUUUCACUUGUGCAGAUGAACUCGAAGACGGCAGGCAUUUCGAUGGCCUACUCUCCGAAUUUAUGUGCGUGCAGGAAUCGGAACAGAAAUGCCAGAUAGCAACGCACCAGCAAUGUGAUGAUAUUUUUGUCUAUGUGUUCUCAAUCCUCAUAAAACAAGAGAAGGAGUUCACCUUUUAUAUAGCUACAUAGGAAGACAAAGGGCCAGGUGCAUGAAGUAUUAGCGGUCAUCAUGUCACUGUCUGUUACCAAUAACUUAUAAAAACUACAAUUCCAUUAUUUGUUACUAGUAACUGAAAUCACUAUGACACCAUAAACCACUAAAUCAUAAUUCACCAUCACAUAAUGGUCAUCAUGCACUUAACCCUCAUCAACCCAUAAGUUACACCACAUAAAGGAUCUAACUUAAUACACAUAGCAUUAUCUUUGAUCUUGGAAUUUUAAUUCAUUUAAUUGCUGAAUAAAAAUUGGAUUAACCUAAUUAAAUCCAACAAUCCCCACCAAUUUUCAAGACAUUAAAAAUACUCUCAAUCUUGCUGAUGUUUGAUAUACCAGUUUUUUUGGUGGAGACUGUAAAGUUGAACAUCCACCUAUAACAGAGGUUACACAUCUUUACAACUAAGCAAUGGACUAUGCCUUGAAUUAAUAGUUUUGUGCAAAAUAAGUUCACCUAAGUCUAUUACUAAUACAAUGUUUCUUAAAGCAUCCCCUCUAUUUGAAGUAUAUAAGUCAUACUACCUAGCCUUUUAUGAGCAUCUAGAGAUUACCCACAUCUCAUAGACGGUGACUAGCAACCGAGCUCAUAUAGUUGUGUUCUUUCUAGGAUGUUCUAUAGGAAAACAUCCCUACUUAAAAAUAAGCCACUCAGAUCAGAUUAAGGAAUUAACCAACCUUCUCUAGUGUAUUGGAGAAACAGUGCAUCUCUAACAAGUUAGACUUUAGUAUAAGGGGUCUCUCCCUUAGUCAACCAUUAGCUUGUUUUGCCAUCCUACUUCACAGGAUCUCCGAUCAUAUUGGACAAGUUACCAGUAUGGUAUGACUCAAGUGGAUCUCAAGCCCAACUCCCUUGAUGCACCUUCGUUCACAUUGCGUGACAAACCCUUAGUGAUUGAUUUGCUAGAUUCUUAUAUUUAUGGACAUAGUCCAAUGAAAUUACUCUAGAGUUUCUCAAAUUUCUAACAGAUUUUAUCCACCUUUUUCAUAUGCCUUGUGGACUUCAUGUUAUCCUUAGAACUGUUAACUUUAAUUAUCAUAGUUUGAUUAUCACAGUUUAUAGAAAUAGCCGGUAUAGGUUUAUUUACCACUGGUAAAUCCAUCAGGAGUUCACGAAGCCACUCGGCCUCAGCGCUAGCGGUGUAUAAUGUUGUGUGUUCUACUUCCAUUAUAGACAUCAUUAUGAUAGUCUGCUUGCAAGAUUUCUAGGAGACAGCACCACCUCCAAGCAAGAACGCAUAUCUACUCAUGACAUACAAUCAGCAUCAAAUAUUCACUUAGCAUCACUAUAGCCCUCUAGUAUCUUCGGUUACCCGGUAAAGUGAAUGCCAUAACUCAUUAUACCCUUCAGAUAGCGCAACACCCUCUCAUGUGCAUGCCAAUGUUUAUCUCUAGGAUUUGAAACAAACCAGCUAAGUUUGCUUAGAGAAAUGAGAUAUGAGGUUUUAUUGCACUAGCUAAGUAUAUAAGAGAUCCAAUUAUCUAUGAGUAUCUUAAUUAAUUCCAUGCUAUUCUGUGAUUUUUCGUUAAUAGCACACUUAGAUCAUAAGGAGUUGGCGAAGCCAUGCAUUCACUAUAACCAAAACGGUUUAGCACAUUUUCAACAUAGUGGCACUAUAUGAAGGUUGUGGCUUUUUGACGUUCUAUUAUGUCACAAUAUAUAGAAUUUACGUCAUUACUUUAAUUUUUUGACGUCCAGAUGACGAAAAUCCAAACGUCAAAAAGCCACAGUCACAAAAUUAUUAUGUGACGUCUGUUUUGCUUAACGUCAUAAGCAUAUGACGUCUGAUUUCAGUGUCAUAUAAUCGUAUGACACUGGUUUAGUGUCAUUAAAUCCUAGGCCUUGCCACAUGGGCAAAUGCCAUGUUGGAUCAGUUGCUGACAUGGCAGGAAGGAAAAAAAACGUCAAAAAAUUAAAUUUGGCCUGCUAGAGCCCAUAUACCACGCAGUUGUCUUUCAGCCCAUUUAAGUUUUUUAGUCCAGUAAUUUUGGCCCAUGUUUUUUUCUGGCCCACUGAUUUCAGCCAUAUUUUUUUCUAGCCCACGAAUUUCAGUCCAAUUUUUUUUCCCUAGCCUUCACAAUUUGGCCUAUAUUUUUUUCCCAACCAAUAGAAUUCAGCCCAACCUAUAUUCUAGCCGAAUCUAGCCCAUCAAUUCAAUUCAGUCUAACUUGUUUUCUGGCCCAUACUAUUAAUCCUGUCUUUUUAAAACCCACAGUACAUUUCAGCCCAUACAACAUCCAACCCACAUAAAAAAUUCGGCCAUAGAACCGGAUUCAAAGAAGUAAUCUCCAUAAAUCAUUGCAAUAUCGCAAGCAUUCUAUAAGUUUUAAAAUGCAAUACAAUUACAUUAAGAAUACCAAAUAUCUCUAGAACAUCAGAACAUCAGCUAAACUGAGAAUCUCAAAUGUCUCGUGAGCAUCACCUACAUCCACAACACAAUGCACAUGACUAGCAGCAGCGAAGCAGUGCAUCGACAACAGUGGCGCAUCGGCAGCAGCGACGCACCACCAGCAGCAUCACAAUGGCUAGCACCAUGGCUACCAACACAGAAAUAUCCUGCUGCAGCUCACCAAAAGAGCAUAUCUUGCUCACCAAAAUGGCUACCAACACAAUGUUGCCAAAAUAUCAUCUAGAGCCUAAGUUUGAGAGAUUACUGGUCAGCAUCAGGUGAUGAGAACCUACUUCCAAACAAAGAGCGAAGGAAGGAUUGGAUUUCAUUUCCUUGUUGCUUCAGUUUCUCGGUUUCUUCUUCAUUCUUCCUUGCGGUCUCAUUCUGGUCCUCUACAUUCUUCUCCAAAUCAGCCACCUGUGAUCGCAGCCCCGCUGAUCCCUUCUUCUCAGCUUGCAAUUCACCCUCAAGUUCUUCCACACGCUUGCUCAUUGCAGCAGCUUUGACAUUUUUCUUCAUCUGUAUGGAUUCCAUGCCAAUAUUGCGGAGAAAAGAUGACUUGGGCAGAACAUGAGCUAUAGCUUGAAGUGGUGUCUUUGGAUCUUGCCCAUCUUCAGUUGGUUGAGCAAGAUAGUUCUCCAUUUUAGCCUAGCAACAAUAACAGCCAAAAAAAUUCAGUCUGCUAGUUAUGCAUGUGUCCAGAACAAAGUAUAUGUAAAAAAAUAGUGUCCAGAACAACAAAAGAGAUUGUACAGUAUGCUAGUUAUGCAUUUGUUGAGAACAAUAGAUAUGUAAAAAUUUAGUUAUGCAUUACUAUACAGACUUGUUUUCAUGAAGUGGGCUACUGAUUUCAUAGUAUAAAUAUAUUCCUAGAAUUUUAGGACAACCCACAUACAAGAAGCAUACUGUAGUGAAGCUAUACAACAAAUAGGAGAAUAGGGUACAGUCAAAAGAAUAAAUCAUAGCCAGAGUUCUAAAACACAAAAACUUUGUUAUUUAACAUUUCAAAAAGCUUAAAAAGUUAUUGGUACCAUUCUAGUCAUAAUACAAGCUUGGUUUCUAUGUUGAUAGGGUCAAAAACCAUAAAGAAGCAUUGUUGUGUAGGGAAACCUGACAGCAUAUAUGAAGCUCUUGCCAACCAAAAGUCUGUAACAAAUUUAGAAAGCUCAAGAAAAACACUACAAGUUUCUAGUUACCAACAGGAGCUAGUUUUGAAGAUAACAUGGUCAAAUUACACAAAAUCUCACACCUGUACAACACUUGAUAGGUGCUCAGAACUGUACAACACUUGUAAGUAUCCAACAGAGUUGUAUCUCCAUCAAUUGGAUACUUUCUGACAGAAAAACACUAGAAUUUUAGGACAACAAGGAUACUUAAAUUAUCCAAAACAUUUAUAUUGUCAAGUUCCAUAUAAAAUAUCAUUCAAAUACACGAAUUAUUAUCACAAGCAGCAGCCAUCUCAUCACCUAUUGUUAUGCACGUGUCCAGAACAAUAUAUAUGUACAAAUGAUAUCGCAAGAAGUUAGGAAUCAUUGGAAAAUGUCGUAAAACUUUGUCAGGAAUCUUCUUUUUGCCAUCAUUGACUUUCCAUCUUGAUGCACUACAAACUGGACACACAUCAUCUUUUUCUAAAUUGUUUCGAAAUAGGACACAAUUAUUCGGACACACAUGGAUUGAAUUGUAUCCGAGCCCCAAUGCACGCAUAAGUCUCUUUGCCUCCUCAUAGGUUGUAGGAAUAGAACAAUGUGGGAAAGCUGAUGACAACAACUUCAGAAAUGCAGUGAAUGCAACAUUAGGAAUUCUGUAAAAUGACUUGAUAUGAAGUAACUUCACCACAAAAGAAAACCUUUUGCAAGGACCACCAGGGUACAACUCUUGUUUCAUCUCUUCCAAUAGAACUGAAAACAUUGACUCUUUCCUUGUACCUUCCUCUUCAGCUGUGUACAACUCCUCUACUAAACCACAAAUUCCAUCAUCAGGGUCAUUUUCAUCAUCCACAUCUAGGCCAAAAUCAUCAUUGAGACUAGUUGUUCAUCAACAUGGUGAUCAAUUUCAUGUGGUACAGCCUCCAAUGGUUCUCCAUGAUGUACCUAUCUAGUGUAAGUAGCAGCCAUCCCAUGAAUAUACAAGUGAUCCUCCACGUGUCCUUUAGGUUUACAAACACGGUUCAAACACCGACGACAUGGACAAAGCAUGUCUUCAUCAUCACUGAAUCUCUCAGAAACAAAGGUCAUGAAUUCCUUCACCCCUUCCACAUGUUCCCUGCUCAACAUCCUUCUAUCCAUCUACACCAAAUCAUGAGAUACAAUUCCUCAAAAAAAUUACAUAUAGAUGAUGCUGAACCAAAGUUAUCAAACAUGUGAUAGAUUAUUUAUAAUGCAUUCUGUAAGCAAUAGUUUAGCAUUGCUUUAUCUCAAUAAUGUGUUGAAGAAAUAUUUAGAAAAAUAGCAUGCUCCAACUGAAGAUAGGAUAAAGUUCACAGUAUUCAACAUUCAUAUAAGCUAACAAAUACUCCAGCAGAACUAUAUUUUUCGAAUUAUAGCAGUGUUGAAAUAGUAGCACAUGCAGAACUAGGUCACGAAACUAGCAGUGUUGAAACAAAUAUUUUUCAUACUCUAUAUAUAUUUCUUACUAGCAAACAAAUACUUAAGAUAUAAAUUGGUAUUAGCAUGAACCAUUUUUGUUUGUGGAGCAUCCUGAGAAAUUUGAAAAGUUUGACAUGUCUCCUUCCAGUUAUUUUGUUUUAUGGCCCUCCUGGCUGUGGCAAGGCUUUGUUGGCCAAGGCAAUUGCUAAUUAAUGUUAGACAAACUUCAUUACUGUGAAGGGUCCUGAACUGCUUACCAUUUGGUGAGAGCCAGGCUAAUGUCCAUCAGAUCUUUCAUAAGGCUUGACUCAAUUGCUAUUCAGGUAUAGUCUCUAGUUAUGCUCAUGUGCUCACACACUGAUACUACCCUGUAAAUGAACUGAAAAUACUGCUGUGAAUUUCAGAGCAGAAGCAGUGUUGGUGAUGCAAAAUUGUACCUUUCAGAGAAGAGAUCAGCUCCAGCCGCCCUGCUGCAACAAAUCAAAGCCGCUCGUCCCGCUCACCAAGCUGCCCCGUUGCCGCACGGUGCUUCAUGGGCAGCAGCGCUGCCUGCUGCUGGUCGUCCGCGCCGAGCACUCGACCUAGCUGCGUACGUUGCCAGCCAAUGGCCACAGCCGCUUGCAGGUCCCCUCGGCGACCGAUGGGCACAGCGGCGUGCCUUGCCGUCUGCUGCACUCUCCUCGCCCACCACGAGCCCAGCACUCUCGCCCCAGCCGCUCUCUUGGAUGGCCGCCGGCCUUGGCCACGCUCCUCGACAGCCGCCAGCCCUAGUCGUGCACCUCGCCGGCGCCGGCCGCGCCGCCAGACACAACGCCCACCACGAGCCCAGCACUCUCGCCCCAGCCGCUCUCUUGGAUGGCCGCCGGCCUUAGCCACGCUCCUCGAUGGCCGCCAGUCCUAGUCGUGCACCUCGCCGGCGCCGGCCGCGCCGCCAGACACAACCCUAGCCGCCGAAUCCCCUUGAGUGACGAACAAAUUUUGAGUAAGGGUUCGAUCCAAAUUCUGUUUGGGUGGUGUAGCAUCUUCUAUAUACUAAUAUAUGGAGUAAAACAAGCAAGUUAUCACAAACACUUGUGAGGUGUAGUGGUUAGUGUACCUUGCCUAUGAGGCCUGCUCUGAGUGGCCAGGGUUCGAAUCCCCUAGGGCACUCAUUUUUAGCUUUUUGCCGGAUUUUCAUGCUUCGCCCGGAUUUUCAUGUGCCUUUGGGCUAGAUGCUGUUGGGCCUAGCGAACUAGACUGGUCCAUUUAGGGGCUAAAUCAGGUGGUCCAUGAAAGAUUGGUGGUCUGGUUACCUAGGUGGCCCAACUAGAAUUGGAAAAAAAAUAAUUGGGCUGAAAUAAACAUCCAAUAAAAAAGAAAAAAAUCUGAUGUGGCAACAAGGUAUGCCAACAUCAAAAAUAUUAUUUAAAAUAAUUCAAAAAUUAUUUUUUUGACACAAAAUUUUUGUCAAAGGAUUAUGACACUAAAAAGUAGGCCUCAUGACGUACAAAUUAGUGUCACUACAAGAACUUAAAGUAGGUGUAUGACAUAUAUUGUGACGUACAAUUUUCAAAGGUCACUAAACCAAAAUAACGUCAAAAAAUAGAUGAUACAGUGACGUAAUGAUCUAUCGUCAUACUAAAUACAUCAAAAAGCCACACAUCUCUUGUAGUGUGGGAUAGCACAAGAGUUACCCCACCAUUUCCUUCUCUCAGUGGCUUCAUGUUAAGAAUAACAUUAGCCUCACCCAAGACUUUCAUCUAAAAGUUAUUGGAUAAAAAAUCUUUCACUUCUUUGAUCACAUUAAAAUUAUUUCAAAAGGUUAAUAUAUCAUCCACAUACAAGCACAAAAUCACACUAUCUCCCCCACCAUACCAAUAUAGACACAUUUAUCAGCUUCAUUUAUAGUAAAACUAGUUGAUGUUAAAGUUUUAUCAAAUUUAUGAUGCCAUUGCUUAGGAGCAUGCUUUAUGUUGUAUAAGGAUUUUACUAGCUUACAAACCUUACCCUCUUGAUUUUUCGCUAUAAAUCUUCCAGGAUGAUUGUUGACACUUCUUAACGCAGUUACUAUAAAUAGACUUUUAAACCUAUCCCUAGAACCGGUGUCAAAAUUACUUUAUAUCACAUAAGCCAGGUUGUCAUCCCAACAUAAUGUAGAAGUGCUCGUAUUAAAUCUAUAUGCUUUUCUAUAAAUGAAUAAAUAAAUAGAGGAUCCGCAAGCGCACAGAUAAUACCGAUGUAGCAUUUUAACUGAGUAAUCUAGGUAUCAUUAUUUAUACUUUUACCACUAGGAAGGGACUUGCAAUGGAUACUGAGCAAUGUGAACUGCAUACAAUCAUGGAGAUCUUAACCAUGUAUUUAUCUAUCUCUGAUGCAAGGUAACUUUGUCACAUAAGAUAAAUAUACAAAUAUGAAUAAUAAGUGACAGAUGAUAAAUAAGAAUUCAUAGCCAUAUGAUAAAUAUCAUCUCAAUUAGAUUACUAUAAGUCUAUAGCACUAGCAUUGUAUUAAGACAAUCUAUAAUAAUAAAUCCUAAGUAUUCCAACUAUAAGAAUACAUUGAUUAGUGCAAGUACACCUAGCAUCAUCGCACGAAUAUUUAUAUCUAUGCAUAGUGAUAUUAGCAAGAAAGAUCAUGAACAUAGCAAUCACUUCCCUGUAAUAAUGGUGCUCUACAAUCCUUAUCAUCAGGAGAAGUAAUACAAAGGACUCCACAGGACUAUCACUCCUGCGAUCUACCUCAUGCUCCGGACUAUAAGGGGUAAUCGUAGAUAAAUACGGUCAAGGCACCACGCCUACACAAUAUCUACCACUUACCCAUCGGCGUAAUGAGUAAGCGUUAUACAAUCCUAUGCAUAAACAUAAUUCUAAUUUAACUCUACACAAUAUCUACCACUUACCCAUCGGCCUAAUGAGUAAGCGUUAUACAAUACUAUGCAUAAACAUAAUUCUAAUUUAACUACGCUUAGUAUAUAAUCAAAGUAGAAUAAUAAUAAUAAUAUAGUUGAGAAUAUAAGCAACUACAAUAAAGUCAAUUCCGAUAUAAACAAACAGAUCAAAGUCAUAUUCACAGUAGCAAGAACUAAUAUAAAUAUAACAGAGAAGAAUAAGAGUUUACCAAGAACGAAGAUAGAUCCAGACUCCAAGAUUAACUUGACUCCUUCUAGAUUUAUUCCUAUGCAGCUAUGCUAUAGAACUAGAGAGAUCUAAUUGAGAUGGUGGCUAAGAACCCUAAAGAGACAGAUCUAUUCGAGGGACCCCUCUCUGUCUAAUUCUUCUUCAGAGAAUUCUAAACUCUUGAAUUCUUCCUCUCUAGGUGGUUAGGGUCUUAUUUAUAGCACCCUAGGAAGCACCACAACCCUCGGAUCAAAUUGACUCAAAUGUACGCUUAAGAUUACUCCUCAAAGGCGGUUGAGGUAGGAUCCGUGAGGUUGCACCUGAUUGGUGGACAGGGCCGGGUGGCCGCCCCACCUGUCAGGGGCGCCCGCCCCUGGCUAGCUGCCAGGGGGGCCCACUUCACAAGGUCGCCUUCUUGUGUCUUCUAGAGUAUUCCUAUGUUGACAUUUCACGUAUUCUCUCCAUGUAUAUCUGACAUGUGGACCUCCUUUUGUUCUUAUUUUGAUAACCCUCUUCAGAAAUAGAAAAUCACCAAAACUUGUGGAAUUAUGUUAGUGAUAACCCAUAUAGCUGGAUAGUAUUCUGAUUUUAGUCCUUUCUCAUGCUAUGUUGACGGUUAAAAGGAGUACUUAUCUACCAUCAACAAACUCCCCAAGCUUACCUUUCGCUCGUCCCUAAGCAAAGAUAGACUUAGUGAUGGACCAGGAGUUGCUACAAUACUUUCACGCCUCAUAAGUACACAUGCAUUCAAACAAGGACUCUCCUCCAAAUUAGAGUGAACUAUCUUAACUCAAAACUCACCAAUAUUACCAUUCACCAUGGAAGCUUAAAGCUAUCAGUUAGACCGUGGGUAGUUGAAAGAUAGAACAGGAGAGUCAAGUACUAUUCUUCUCGCUCUUUGAUCAACUAUUAGUCCAGAGUUUUUGCAAGAUUUACAAAUAAAACUCAGAGUUUCCAUAUAUGUCCCUUUCUAGUCUCUCAUAUGUGGUAUUUUUGGAUCCUCUCCAAGGCAAGUGAGUAUGCCUUCUCUCUGCUCUCCCGAAUAUGUGGUAUUUAUAUCACUAAGACAUAGUUGCCUCCUCUCUCUCACCCUACUUCUCAUUGGCUUAUGUGGAGCUCAUAGGUGGGAAAAACAAUUCAAACCUACUUGCAUAUAUUGCAUAGUUAAACCAUGGAUCCAGAGAAACUAAUUAUAUAAUCAAGUCAUAUGUGCAUGUGAGUGCAGUGAAGUGAAUGAAUGAUAAGAAUGAAAGUGGUUAUGAGGGGUGAUAACUGAUGGUAAAUAUCUAAUUCUACAAUUGCUCCUUGGGGAUAACAUACCUCCCUAAUAUAAGAAUAAGGACUUGGUUGUCUUUCUUUUCUUUUGGAUUGGGUCUUUUGUCCUCUUUCUUUCUUUUCUUAUUUUUUAGAGAUCAGACAACCCUUUUAAUGCACUAAUAACAAUAUGGAGUAUCAACUGAAAUAAUUUGAGCUUUAUUGGAUAAGUAGAAUAAGACAUAAUGGCAAUGAAUAUUUUUGGGUGUCUUCUCCCAGUGUAGGAGUAGAUCAUUUUCUAAGUGGAUGUGGAAUGUGUAUGAGUUAAUAGAGGAAUGCGUACUCCCAAGGUAGGGCCAGCAUUGGUGCGUGUCUCUAGGAUAGAAAUAGCAUAGAGUGUAGUGCAUAUAUGUGGGUGGUACUUCUAGGAACAAAAGUAGCACGUAGUGAAUGUGGUGGAUGUAAGUGGUUGUAUACUUCCGAGGACAGAAGUUGCUAAGUUCAUUGGAUGGAGAGCACAUAAUAUUGACUUUAACUGCAUGACUAGUUCCUUAGGGUCUACACAACUUAACUACCCACAAUGCUUAUAGGUUGAAAUAUAAAUGGAGGUUUUCCUAAUCUAGUAAGCAUGAGUAUUUGGUUGUGGUAUGAAUUUUAAACUCUCAUCAUAAAGGAGCCUAUCAUGUAGCAAUUUAAGAUUUUCAAAAUAAAAUUCUCCCAAACUCUAGCAUCUCUAGGAGCAAGAUUGAUAGCAACUCAAAACCUUCCCAUAUCAUAUCCGUCAACUACCUAGACAUAGAUUAAGCAAUUGCUACCCACAAGUUUCAGGCUCAAAGCAAAAUGUUAAGUCUAAAUAGGUGUGUCUAAAACUCAGGAGAGUACAAGGUUGAAAACAAGGUACUUGUAAGGAAUUAUGGCAGAGCAACUAUUCAUCAUCUCCAUUAAGAGUUUAUUCUAGAGGAUCAUUUUAAUAGAUUCAUUAAGAUCUCUCCUAGCUAGCAAAACUAAUUAUGAAAGAUAAACUAUUUUUUUGGUUUCUAAGGUUAUUCAUCUUUUUAUCUUGACAUAAUGCACUAAGAAGAAAUAGAUAAGUGAGUAAGGGAUACUUAGCUUGGUAUACGGGGGUUGUUCUCCCCAAGCUAGAUAUUGACAUAGUCUGCUGAGGUUGCUGUUGAUAUUAGUUAUGCACAUAGAGAAAUCCGCAAGCGCAUUGAUAUCAGUGAGCACUUCACCCAGAAGAUAAUCCAGAUUAUCAUUAUUAAUAUUUUUGCCACUAGGAGAAAGCGUGCAUUAGACUAACCUAAAUCUAUACUUAACCCCUAGGCUUGCAAGACAAGAUAGUGAGAUAUGAGCGAUAUAGAGAGAUCUCCUUCAUCAGUCUUCUUCUAACCUAUGGUAAGUGUGUGGUUAUUGGUCUAAGGGGAGUACCUAGAGAAAAGAGACACCUCAGAGAGUGCUUGACUCUAGCACCAUAUAUCCUACCUUACCUACUGAUGGGACGUGGAUUACAGAGACACCAAGGGGAUUGUCACUUCCCCUGAUGCUAGCACAAAUUCGGCCAGAUAGGGAGUAUCUAUGAGUGUUCCUAGCCCAAGCACCACGCUUAUGCUACAAACAAUUACUCUAUUCCCAAUGCAAAGCGAAUAAAGUAAACCCAUAAACCAAACAAUAAUAAGAACAAUGACUUACUAAUAUUAGAUGUCGAAUUGCCGAAUGAUUCUAGAACCAAGCCUCAAGUUAGAAGACUUGAUCACACAGAUACAAGGAAGAAGACACCAACAUGCCGAGCUUCCUCCACUUCUGUCUCCAACUUAUACUGUCUCAAUCUCUAUUGUUGCUAAAACCCUAAAGAGACAGAUCCAUUCGAGGGACCCCUCUGUGACUAAUUCUCUCUAGAAAAUAUGAAUUAGGGUUUUAGAAUUAGCUACUCCCUAGGGGGUCAGGGUCUUAUUGAUAGCCCCCGAGGAAACACCACAUCCCUUGGAGCAAACCGACUUAAACGUCACUUAAGAUUAAUCCUCAAUGUUGGUGGAGGCAGGAUCUACGAGGUUCACCCUGAUUGGUGGACUUAGUGGGGCGGGCGCCCCUGCCCUUCUGGGAGGUCACUGUUGACGGUCCUUAAGUACCAAUUUUAGUCAUCAAAUAAAUAAAGAAAAGGAUCCAAAUGCAACCAACACCCAGACUUAGGGUUUUAUCUGACAGAAUUCCACGAGUUUUAGAGUUUGUCUAUUUCUGUAGGGGGUUAUCAGGAAAUAUGGAGGAAAGGCCCACAUGUCGGGUUUACAUAGAGAUAUUAACGUGCCGUGCAGUUUUCUUUCAGCUAGAAGAGUCCAGAAUCCACGGGAACAAACGGGAGGCCGAGCGGGCCUGGGGGCAGGGCGCCCGCCCUCCCCCCUGGGCGCCCGCCCUGGUGUUUCAACCAAUCAUGUUUAAUUUCGCGGAUUAUGCUCCACCGACCUAUAGGAUCAAGGAGAACUGUUCAAUCAAUGUCGUUUUGAUCCGGGGGCCCACGUUCACUUGAGGGGACUAUAUAAGCAGGCCCCCUGGCCCCUGGAGGAGAGCAAUCCCAUUAUUCAUUAGCAUAUUUUCCAGAGAGGAUUCAGAGAGGGAGGUCCCUCUAGGGAUCCAACCUCAUAGGGCUUAGCAUCCAAUGUGAGAGUAGAAUUAGUUCUUCUAGAUUGAGAGAGAUAGAGUGUAGGUGUAGAUCAGAGGAAGCCCGGCCUGUCGGUGUCUACUCUGAGGUUGUACCUGCGGGAUCAAGUCUCCUAACCCGAGGCUUGCUCCUAGGAUUCUUCAGUAUUUUGACUUCUAAAUUCUAGUAAGUUCUUGUUCUUAUUGUUAUUUGGUUUAUGAGUUUACUUUAAUCUCUUCCGGUUGAGUUUAGAGCAAUCAUUGCUAGCGUAAACGUGGUGUUUGGGCUAGGGUACUCAUAGAUAUCCCCUGUCUAGCCGUACCGUCGUAGUAGCGAGGAACGUGACAUUUCCGAGCUACCUUUGUAGCCCACAUCCCAUUAGCAGGAUCGGUAGGGUUUAUAGGUGCGGGUCGAACAUCCUUUGUGGUGUCUAGAUUCCGUGAGCCUCCCUAAUAGAACAGUAGAUCAUCCUUACCAAGGUUAGAACGAGAGUACGGUUGUAGUCUUCUCUAUACAUCGCUCACAUCGAAUCACAUUGUUUGUAGCCUAAAGAGUAGUAGCAAUAGAUUUGGUUAGUCAGAUGUACGCUUUCUCUCAGUGGUAAAAAUAUAAAUACGAUACUCUAGAUAACCUCCCGGGUGAAGUGCUCACCGAUAUCCGUGCGCUUGCGGAUCAUUUCGUGAUGGCGUUAACAAAUAUAAACAAGCAUUUCUGGCGCCGUUGCCGGGGAGAAGGACGGUUUGCUGAGAUAACUUUGAGUCUUGCUAUUAUCUUGUAUUAUAUUUUAUACUUUUAUUCUUUUAUUUUUUUAUUUUUUCCAUCUUUAUGGAUAACUCAAAUUCCACACCUAUUAUUGAAUUUUUUGCACCUUCGGAGACCAGCCAUAGACCAUGGGAGUCAACAAGUCCUUUUUUGCCCCUAACUAUGAUUUGUGUCCGGAGUUGAUUGCAAUAGGUCAAAACCAACCCUUUUCUGUAGCCGAGGUCCUAUCUUUUAAUCAAGAAGACAAUGAACUUUUAGCUACACCUAGGGAAUCUUUUAAUCUUUCUAUAAAUUAUGGUUUAAACCUCGCCCUACAUGACCAUGUUUUUCCUCGAUAUUUUCACAUUGGUCUUAAUCAUAUAACCUUUGGUAGAGUUUUUCUUUCUUUAUCUGUUAGUAAAGCAAGGUAUGUCGUCAUUUGUGGACAUCCUUCUCACACUAGUAUUCAUAAAAAAAUCCUAGAGAAAGAGAAGGAAUCAUCUCCCAGACGAGGAAAGGAAGUUUCAAUAGCCGAUUUCCAAACAUUUCAAUCCCAUGAUUUGGCUAUCCAACCCAAACUAGUAGUGCUCAAAAAUCAUCUAAGGGAAGAAAAAAUUCUACCUUUGGAAAUUCAUUUUGGGAUGAGCUUAAACUUCCUGCUUCAUAAGAGACCUUUGAGUGCAUAUAGUCUGAACCUUCCUAAGAAGGGAUAUCUUAGAAAGCAUCUCAAAUCCAAUCCCUUUGAUGGACAUCUAGAAAGACUCAAGGAUGGCAUCUUAAGUGAUGCAAUAGAAGGAGAGCGAAGCCAUUCAGAAGACAAUCUCAUCUUCUCCCCUUCUACGCCCACUUUUGAUGAUUCAUUCAAACCUAUCUUUAACCCCAUCAUUGAGCCUAAUAAUUUCUACUAUGCUCUUUCUCUUGAACCUCCCGAUGAUCCUAUGAAUCUCUCUAGACGUCCCAUGCAUAAGAGUCACCAAGACCACAAGGAGGAUCGAGAAGAGCAACAUCAAUGGCUAGAGGGCAUUAAAAUUCCAUGUGCUAUCACCAUUGAAUGGAUGGAUAAAACAAACUUGAGAGACAAUCCUAGAGGAAUUUUAAGCAUUCAUGAAGAAUCAUCCUUGGAGUUUGAGAAUGAGAGAAACAAUAGUGAGCAUGGAAGUUAUUUCAUAAAUACCUCACCAAGUCCUUGCUCAUAUAAAACAUCUCCCCAAUCAAUUGGUCUCUCCAACCUUACAACAUUUGAGAUCUCCAACCCCCUCUUCCUUUCUAUUUAUAAAAACUUUAAAGGGGUGGUUAUCGAUGCAUAUGUCUAUAAUAAAUAUUGUAGAUAUCGUUGAGUCGAUCUUGAUAUAGGCACGCUUAGGUUGGUGUUGGAGGGGAAACCACUUCACCAACAUAAUUUGAUGGUUUCCCAAGGACAAGCUUAGUGUCCUAAAACAAGCACUUAUCAGAUAGUAACAUGAACUUUUAAUUAUUUGCAACAUUGCCUUGUGGAUUGAGCAUAUAAAGAUAAUUGUAGAAAUAUUCCUUCGGGUAUUCGUGUCACUAACCUUUCUAGGAUUGGAGCAAGAAGAUCGGAGGAAUGACAAGCGCAAGGUAUGCCCAACCAAUCACCAUGCAACAUUGAAUUAAAUUCAUCCAAUCUUGAAUUUUGCAAAAUUCAAGCUUGGGGGAAAUACCUUACAUAAGAAUAUCCUUUGCCAUGUUGCUAUGUUGGUUGUCCCUACUUUUGAGGCAUGCUCAAUUUUUCUAAACACUAAACUUAUUUUUCAUCUCUACCUAAGUAGAUCUCUAUAAAUGUUGUCAUGCUAUCUUUGUCUAUUCACAAGCAAGUGUUGGUUUGGAAGUACUCGACAUACUUCCAUUGGCAUUUAAAUUAAGAGUGGUGCUUAGGUUAAAUAGCCUUCCUUAAUCUGAUUAGACAUGGAGUCUAGUUUGGUUACUGAACUAAGAACUGUUUGAGUAGACAUUGGUAUAUUUUGUCUGACUAACCCCUAUAGGAAAACUUUCAAUAUCAACAUGGGAAGUCCUGAGAUACAAACUCACAUUGGAGACAAAGGAGACACAUGAAGUUUAACGAUUUGCACAAGGAAGACAUAGCUCAUUCAUCAUAGAGAGAUGAUCUAUGGAACGAGACAAAGAGUGCCACAAACACGGUGCACAACCGCUAAGAAAGGAAAGCUUCCACAAGGUGAUACUGUACCAUCACUCUUUAAGUAAGGUAACAUCUUAAGGUAUUUGACUAUCACUUUUAUAAGCUUCUCCUUGGUUCUGGCGUUCAUAUGAAUAAAGAGACAAACAUAAAUUAACCAACCCAAUUAAUUAAACAUGUUUAGUCCUUCAAUCUUUGUUCUUAAUACUACCUUCAUGAUCCCACACUCCUAAUCAUAUAAGCUAAAAUGUUGCACAUUCAAUCUUUGGAAGAUAUAAAAAAACAUAAAUAUAGAUAGAUUAUCUUUCCAUUAGGUCGAGCGAUCUGAUCUGACAUAUGUUUUAAAUGCUACACUCAUGAUCUUAUUAUCCGUCAACUUUGUCUUGCUCACUAUGCUUAAGGUUAGGGAAGAACAAAUACACUUUUGGUUCUGUUGGUGUUUCUCACCAAUAGGGCCCAUGCACUUGAUCUCUGCGUUGUCUCUAUGAGCAGGUACACUUCGAGCAAAACUUGAAGGAGUUUUACAACUCCGAGAUUCCACCAAGUGAAGGACUUGGAUCUACGAGCACAAACACACUGAGUAAGAUGCUGCCAAUGCCGCACCUCAAACUGCUGGACAAACGAAGAACAUGGGUGACACCGUAUCAAGAGGUACAUAUGUCAAGGCCCACACCUAAUCAAAUGAUGCACCUAAAGGAUGAACACGGUGAGAAGUCUUGUCCAGAAUACUUGGAUCCUUGCCGGAAGGUAAAAUUGGUAUUUAUCUAUAUUUAUCUUUUCUGCAUUCCUUUUACUUUUUUAUUCCAUCACUUGCAUUAGCAUAUUUACUUUUCCACAUUAGCAUUAGAAAAGAAAACAAAAAUACUUGUUUCAUUGCACUGCAUCAGAAAAUCUAAAGCCCCAUGUGAGUAGACUUGUGGUUUAAAACUGAUAGGUAUAUUGACUGUGGUGGCAUAAAAUAAAUAUGUUUUCAGCUUCCAAUAAAAAUAUAAAAAUAAUAAGUGCAUGAUCCUGCUAAAUAAAUAAGAUUUAUUAGGAGGAAUCUCAAUAUGAUAAAGGCUAAUAGAAUUUAUGCUAACACUUAACAAGUUCCACAAAGCUUUGUUGUCUAUUUAAGCUCCACAGAAUUCAACGAUCAAAGAAGACUAGCCGGCGGAGGACAUAAUAAUCACUAUCAGGGUGCUGCCGACAUUCAAAUACACCUCCUGUCACCUGCUAGCUACAUCAGAAGAAAUUACGUCAAAAUCCAGCUUGGGAGAGAGCACCCUCAUUUAUCCAGCUAAGUGUUUCUACUCGCGUUUAUACUUUACUCAAAUAAUAAAAAGAUGCAUAAUCAUGAAAACCCAAAUAAAAAUUUUGUGCUUGUAUAUAUCUUUGCUUAGUUUGCUAAAUAAAUAAAUAAAGUGUCAAGGCCAAACUGAACAUAAAUGAUAAACUCUUACAUGGAUAUGAUAAAUAGUUGCUCUGCCAUGUACCUAGUUUUCAAGUUUGAGUUUUCUCUCAAGUUUAGGCAUAACUGUUAUAAUUUAAACCUGCUCUAAACCUGAACUUGUGGGAAGAGUACUUGAUCUGAAGUCUAAGUUGUUAAGGGAUAUGAUAUGGGAAGGUUGAGCUGCUGUUUAUCUGUUCCUAGAGAUGCUAGAAUUGUGGAGAAUUUUAUAUUUGAAAAUCUUUAAAAUAACACAUGAUGAGUUCCUAUAUGAUGAGAGUUUAAAUUCCUACCACAGCCAUAUAUACAUGCUUGCUAGAUUUUGAGCCACACAUUUACUUUUUACUACUUAUGAGCAUUGAGUGUGGUCAAGCUGUGUAGACCCUUAGGAGCUUGUCAUGCGGUUAAAAUCAAGAAUCACUUGCAUGUUCAUUCACACAUGCUGCUUCUACUCUGGAAGUACGCAUCCACAUAUAUCCACUCAUUUCCAUCUCCAGAGCCACCCAAAAGUAUUCUACUCCUAAUCCGGGAGAGAAUAGCCAAAAACAUUCUUCUAUUUCUGUUUUUCCCUGUGAAAUAAAUGCUCGAGUUAUCUUGGUUACUACCACUUGCUAUGUUAUUUCAGGAGAUGAGUGCUCCAAAAAAAGAGAAAGGAUACGAGGAAAUAAAAAGGGGCAAGUGCCCGGAACCUCGAAAGAAAAGAAAAAGUGAGACGAGAGGUAAAAAUGGACAAGUGUCCGAUAGUAGAAUUAGGGGUACAAGAUACCCACCUGAGAGCAUCUCAUUGUCCUCAAAAAAGCUUCAAAGUGCAAGAAAGGUAUGUAUCCCCUUAAAAGAGCAAAAGUGGAAUUAGACUUUCACCAUUGUUAUCACCAUCAUCACCCAUGCACAUCUUGAUUUGACUUAUUGACUUGUUCUUCUGGAUCCAUGGUUUCACUAUGCAAUAAAUGUCUUGUAAGUAUGUAUUAUCUGUCUCCCACCUAUGAGCUCCAGAUAUCAAAGCCUCAUUAGAGUAAGGUGAGAGAGAAGGCAAUAUUACUAUGCCUCAUACCAAAAAUACCACAUACUUUGAGAGAAGGCAUAUAUUGUUACUGCCUUGGAAAGGAUCCAAAAAUACCACAAAAGAGAGAUUUGAGAGAGUCAUACAAGGAAUCUCUGAUUUUUAUUUGAAAAUCUGCAAAAACUCCAGAGCUAUAGUUAAUCAAAGAACAAGAGACAUGGCGCUUGACUUGACAGUUCUAUCUUUUAACUGCUCAAGACACAAGUGACGGUUGGAAGCCCCAUGGUGAAAGGUAAAAUGAGUAAGUUUUAAGUCUUAACAGUUUACUCUAACUCAGAGAUGAGAUCUUGCUUGAAUGCAUGUGUACUUUUAAGGCAUGAAACCACUACAGAAACUCUUGAGUACAUCCUUGCUCAGGGACGAGCAAGAGGUAAGCUUGGGGAGUUGUUGAUGGUCCUUAAGUACCAAAUUUAGUCAUCAAAUAAAUAAAGAAAAGGAUCCAAAUACAACCAACACCCAGACUUAGAGUUUUAUCUGACAGAAUUCCACGAGUUUUGGUGUUUGUCUAUUUCUGCAGGGGGUUAUUAGGAAAUAUGGACGAAUGGCCCACAUGUCGGGUUUACAUAGAGAUAUUAACGUGCCGUGCAAUUUUCUUUCAUCCAGAAGAUUGUAGAAGCCACGGGAACGAACGGGAGGCCGAGCGGGCCUGGUGGGCAGGGCGCCCGCCCUCCCCGCUUGGGCGCCCGCCCUGGUGUUUCAACCAAUCACGUUUAAUCUCGCGGAUUAUGCUCCACCGACCUAAAGGAUCAAGGAAAACCGUUCAAUCAAUGUCAUUUUGAUCCAGGGGGCCACGUUCACUUGAGGGGACUAUAUAAGCAGGCCCCCUGGCCCCUAGAGGAGAGCAAUCCCAUUAUUCAUUAGCAUAUUUUCCAGAGAGGAUUCAGAGAGAGAGGUCCCUCUAGGGAACCAACCUCAUAGGGCUUAGCAUCCAAUGUGAGAGUAGAAUUAGUUCUUCUAGAUUGAGAGAGAUAGAGUGGAGGUGUAGAUCGGAGGAAGCCCGACCUGUCGGUGUCUACUCCGAGGUUGUACCUACGGGAUCAAGUCUCCUAACCCGAGGCUUGCUCCUAGGAUUCUUCAGCAUUUUUACUUCUAAAUUCUAGUAAGUUCUUGUUCUUAUUGUUCUUUGGUUUAUGAGUUUACUUUAAUCUCUUCCGGUAGAGUUUAGAGUAAUCAUUGGUAGCGUAAACGUGGUGUUUGGGCUAGGGUACUCAUAGAUAUCCCCUGUCUAGCCAGACCGUGGUAGUAGCGAGGAACGUGACAUUUCCGAGCUACCUUUGUAGCCCACAUCCCAUUAGCAGGAUCGGUAGGGUUUAUAGGUGCGGGUCGAACAUCCUUUGUGGUGUCUAGAUUCCGUGAGCCUCCCCAAUAGAACAGUAGAUCAUCCUUACCAAGGUUAGAACAAGAGUACGAUUGUAGUCUUCUCUAUACAUCGCUCACAUCGAAUCACAUUGUUUGUAGCCUAAAGGGUAGUAGCAUUAGAUUUGGUUAGUCAGAUGCACGCUUUCUCCCAGUGGUAAAAAUAUAAAUACGAUACUCUGGAUAACCUCCCAGGUGAAGUGCUCAUCGAUAUCUGUGCGCUUGCGGAUCAUUUCGUGAUGGCGUUAACAAAUAUCAACAGCCGCCUCAAGCACGGACCUGUUUUGCCUCCCAUUUGGUCUGGGCCCUCCUCAAACCUUCUAGAUUACUCUGGAGUUGAAGUUCACAGUAUUCUCGCUAUGUAAACCUGACAUGUGGACUAUCUUUAGUUAUUUUUAGCUGACACCCUGCAUAAAUAGAUAAUUACCAAAACUUGUGGAAUUCAGUCAGUGAUAAUCCUAUAUCUACUAGAUGUUUUACAUAUAGAUCCAUUUUCAUGUCUAGUUGAUAGUUAAAAUUAGGAGUUAUCUACCGUCAACAACUCCCCCGAGCUUACCCUUUGCUCGUCCUUGAGCAUAGAUAAACUCAGCGAUGAAUCAUGAGUUGAUACAAUGCUUUCACGCCUCAAAAGUACACAUGUGUUCAAACAAGAUCUCUCCUCUGAAAUAGAGUGAACUAUUCUGACUCAGAACUUACAUAUAUUACCUUUCACCAUGGGGCUUGUAGCCAUCACUUGGAUCUUGAGCAGUUGAAAGACAAAACAGUCAAGUCAAGCGCUAUAUUUCUCUCUCUUUGAUCAACUAUUAAUCUAGAGUUUUUGCAAUAUUUUCAAAUAAAACUCAGAGUUUCCUUGUAUGACCCUUUCAAGUCUCUCAUUUGUGGUAUUUCUGGAUCCUUACCAUGGCAUAAAUGGUAUAUGCCUUCUCUAUACUAUCAGAAUAUGUGGUAUUUGUGGAAUUAAGGCAUAGUGGCAUUAUGCCCUCUCUCUCUCUCACCCUACGCCUAAUGGGGUUAUGUGGAGGUCAUAGGUGGGGAGGCAGCUCAAACAUACUUGCAAACACAUGUUGUAUAAUUAAACCGUGGAUCCAAAGAAACUAGUUAUACAAUCAAAUCAUAUGUGCACGUGGAUGAGGGAAUGCAAUGAGUGAUAUGAGUGAUGAUAAUGAUUAUGAGGGGCAACAAUGAUGAUGGUGGAGAUCUAAUUCUACAUUUGCUCCUUGGAGAUUUUUACCUCCCUUACCUAGAACUUAGAAACUUUGGGGAGUACUUGGGCUGCUCAUUCAAUUUUUUUGGGACAUUUGUCCUCUUUCUUAUUCUUUCUUUUUUCUCUCUUCUUUCUUUAGAACAGCCAAGCCUCUUAAUGGAACUGUACCAGUAGGGAGUAUUAACAGUAAUACCUGAUUUUAAGAACAAAACUAGAUAUGCACCAUAUGGGAGUCUUAGAAGCUAAACCUCACAUAUAGCUACAAAUAAGGUGUAAUAUGAAAAGACAAUGUAUAAAUAUAUAACGUGUUUGGUAUAUCAGAGAUAACCUUAUGCAGCAAACAACGGAAGUAACUCCAAAACUUCGGGUAUUAACUUCUCUCUACAAGAACCAAACUGACUGGUUGAUCACAAGCCUAAAUCUUUUCCAGAAGGGUGUGGGAGAAAUAGCAAGAGUCAGACCAUGUCAAACUCCACAAGUAUAGCAAAUAGAUUGUAUAGAUCUCACAAUCUCAUGAUCAAUGUGACAUAAAUAAUGUAAAGCAUAAUAUAAUAAACAAUGGACACAAUAACAUAUCAAGAAUCAUCUUUUUUAAUGUAAAAGUCCCCAAGCCCGCUCAUGACCAUGAGCACGGCUAGUAUACCAGUUUUUAACACUCAACAGAGGUUGUACAUAUUUACCCAUGAGUCAUGAUUUACCCUUUCGCUCGAGGCCCAUCGACCUCUUAACCCAUUGUCGAGGAAGGUCGGUAGCGAUCACUAUGAAGGCUUUCAAAAAUUUGUCUAACAAGUUAGGGUCGCAAGGUUUCCAAUUAGCGAGCAGAUGUAGAGCUGUCAUUCCAAAUAGCACAAUGACGCGCAGCCUAUACACAUAAGGACAGAGGCUCGCACCAUACCCGUAUCGGCAAGCCCCUCUAGCGCCCUUACGGGUAACCGCUAAUAAGCUAGAAAAGGUCUUCAUACUGAGCUAAAGCCAGAGUCAUUAUAGCCCUAAUGGUUGCAUUGUUAUCCCGGGUAACCGCUUACAAAAAAUUCCUCAAGUUGCUAAAAAGUCAUUUUUAUCGUUUGUUGCUUAAACUUUAAUCAAGCCACGAGAUCAUGGUCAUAGAAAUAAAACUCAAUGCUAUACUUGCCUUGAUCCAAUUGCUCCAUCUAGUACUGCUGGUUGUCAAGGUACUGAUCUUAACCUCCGAAGUAGCACCCUUGAUCACCCAUGAAUUUUGCUCACCGUCUACAUUCGAUCAUCGAAUAAAAUACACAAGCAAUCGGGGCCAAACAUACACGAAACAUACAAUAGAACUAAAUUAGAAAAACACCAAACAAUAAAAUGGUUUGAAAACUAAUCUACACAAUGCUACAAGCAUCAAGAUGUGAAAACACUCUAAUCGAAGCUACGCCAAAAUAGAAACAACUAUCAAAGGAUUUACUUUAGAAGCUUAUUUAUUUUUAAUUAUAUAAGGUAUAGAAUAUUGUAGACAAAUAUCAUGUUAAGUCAAUUUAUAUUUUGAAUUAGAAAACCAAGGUAAACUAAUUAUAUUUUAUCUAUAAAUCCAAUUACAUAAUUAUUAUUCAAGUUAGGAUUUCAACCAUAAAAUUCAGUACACAGUCUACGUAGUUACUAGGGAAUAUCUUCGGCAUAUGUAAAAGAUAGAUUUUCUUGAAUUGAGGAAUAAAUAGACAAUAAUGAUUUAUUGUACAUGAAUGACAUAUACAUGACAUCAGUAUUUUCUUGAAUCAUGCCUGCAUGAAUUAAGCUUGUUACGUGUAAGCACUCCUAUAUAUUAUUUUUAUUGCAGGGAAUCGCAUAUUGCACCAAAGUGAUGUUAGCAUGACAUCAGCACAUGAUUUAGUCAAUAGAAUAAUGUGAGAAGGAACUAAUCUGGCCGCUAACCUUUCAUUAAUCAUGGUGCCUAUGCUUCACCAGCUUGCUUCCAUGCCUUAGUAGUGUGGUCAGGGUUAUCUGCCUUGCAGUUGCAGCAGUUGAGAUACUUCGUGCUAGCAAACAUGGGCACAAUGUGAAACACAGCAGCUGCACAUAAAGGAGAUAAGUGUCACGUAUGCCAUAGAAACAAGAUAGAGAUAGAGAAGGUUCGUGUGCAUGUGCUCACAUGUCUCUUAAUUAGGACAACAUUAAGAUCAUGUGGCUGAGUCAACGUGGAGCAGAAAUUGAUGGCGUGGUUCAUGUGGUCUUGCUCAUGUGAUUAUGGAUCAGCGGCACACAUGGUUGUCACAGAUAUGAUGACGGAGGAGCAGCGACGGCAAUAUCGCUAUUAGGCUUAUCGAAGAAGAUGACCAGAAAUUUCCUAAGAUUGAUGGCGGCUUCUUGAAGCAGACAAGACGGCAACGACCUGGUGAAGUUCGUAGUGGUGGCUGUAACUUCUAGAGGAACUCAGUGCACAGUGCGGGGGAGGUAUGUAUGACCAGAUCACGGCGGCGACGGCAGUAGUAGCGGCACAACGCGAGACUGGUGCCUAGGGCGCUCGCUGCUAGCUACGCCAGAAGAAAAGGGCUCAAUGGCGUUGACAACUAGCUAGGGCAACUAGACCUUCUAUUUAUCUGGUGUCCUUGCGUGCAUGACAUAAACAUGGUCCGGUUAUUUGCUUCAUGGAUCAUCACGUCAAAACAUAGACCCAAUAAAACAACAAAAGAAUAGAUAGAUAGAAUUAUACGGGCCUUCUUCCAUCCAAUAAUGAAAGAGCAAAAUUGUUUGGCCAACGGUGAUUUAGGGUCAAGAUUAGUUAUUUUCGAAAUUGAUUAAUUUGGUGGAUAUAAUAAUUCUAGAAAAGUCAAGAAUAAUUAUUUAACUCGCGAAAAAUACUUUGAAAGCUCUAAAAUUUUGGGAAAAAUUAUCAGCAACAUUAUAAAACAUGAAGAACCCAAAUAAAGUAUUUGGAGCUCAUGAUAAUAUAAUUUGGAGCAUCUAAAAAUUAGAUUAUGCUCACGGAAAAAGGGCUGCUUGAUGGACGAGAAACUGAAAGGAGUGAUUUGAGUUUUAAAGAAAAGAUUUUUGGGAAUAUCCAACUGAUAGCCCGAGCUCAGAAAUAAGGAAUUUGAUUGUAGAAAAAAAUAAAGAGAAGUUCAAUCUAGUAAACGUAUUUUAAUGACUUCACUCACUAUCGGCACACAAAGAGCAACAAGGAAACAGCACAUCAAAUUUUACGCAUCAACAUGUAUACACAACAAUGUUGCUAAACCCUAUGAUGAAUUUAAAUUUAAGGAAAAAAUUCAUUUUACUAUAUUUUCAUGAGCACAAAAAAUACCUAAUUAAAUCGUUUUAGACCUAUUUCAAAAGAUGCAAAUUUUAGGGUGUUACAUUAACUAAAGUAACUGAAGCCUCCCAGUGUAGGAGCAGAACAUUUUUCUGAGUGAAUGCAGUGAAUAGAGGAAUGCGAACUCCUAGGGUAGGAGCAGCAUAGGUGCGUGGAGUGUGAGUAUAUAUAUGGGUGGUACUUCCAGGAACACAAGUAGCACAAAGUAAAUGCAACAUAGAUCAAUGGAUGAAGAGCACAUAAUAUUAUCUUUAACUGCAUGACUAAUUCCUAAGGGUCAACACAGCUCAACUACAUGCAAUUCCUACAAGCAGUAUAUUGAAGUCGAUGGCUUUCCUAAUUAGUAAGCAUGUAUUUUGGUUGUGGUAGGAAUUUAAACUCUAGUCAUACAGGAACUCAUCAUGCAGCAAUUUAUGAUUUUCAAAGAUAAAUUCUCUAGAACUCUAGUAUCUCUAGGAACAAGAUGGAUAGCAGCUCAAAACCUUCCCAUAUCAUAUCCGUCAAAUACCUAGACUUAGAUCAAGCAUUCGCUACCCACAAGUUUUAGGUUUAGAGCAGACCUCAAAUCAAAACAGUUAAUGAAAACUAGGUACUUGAAAGGAAUUACGAUAGUGCAACUAUUCAUCAUUUCCAUAAGAGAUUAUUCUAUAGGGUUUAUUUUAGCAGGCAAUUUCUUCAAAUACUCUCCUAAUUUUUAUUUAGCAAAUUUAAUAUCAAAUAGAAAGAUAGAUAUAGACAUAAAUAGGGAAAUCUUUAUUUGGGUUUUCUAUGGUUAUGCAACUUUUUAUUUGGUUUAGAUUAACAUAGCACUCUUAAUAAAUAAAUAGAUAAGUGAGGGAUGCUUAGCUAGAUAUACGGGGGUGCUCUCCCCGAAGCUAGAUAUUGAUGUAGUCCAUUGGUGUUGAUUACCGGCAGUGAAGGCGUACUGGUCCUCCAGGAGUGUCAAGGAUGGUUGCUGUUGAGACAGUGAUCUGAUUGUUGAAGACACCAUUCUGACAGGGGAUAUGACGUCCUUCUGCCUAUAGGUUCUUCUUGAUCCUUCAAAUUUUGUGAAGCUCAAAUAGACAACAAAGCUUGUGGAACUAAUUAAGUGUUAGUGGUAGAACCUCUAAGCCUUGGUUGUCUAGAACCUUCUUAAUAUAUUUAUCAUUUAGCAAGAUCAUAAGAUAUAAUUUUUUAUAUUUUAUGGUAUUUAUAAAAUGCAGUAAAAUGAAAACUUGUUUUUAUACCACCAUCGUGGAUAUCUUUCUGGGCUGCCGCACCACAAAAUUAUCCACAUGGGGCUUAGCAUUUUCUAGAUGCAGUGCUAAGAAGGAAAUACUGAUAACUACCAAGUUACCAGAUGGGGCUCGGCGCGGUGUUCAGUGUUUUAGGUCCUCCAACAGGACCUCUUACCCUGUUAACUCCUUAGGUGCUUUAUAUGGUCCCAAAGGUGUAGACCAUGAUAGUUGCACCUCUUGAGAUGGUGUCACUCAUGUUUAUAGCUCUUCUUGUAGUUUGGUGUCAAGUGCUAGUUGUGGGAGCUGGUAGCAUCUUCGCUCGGUGUGCAUGUUCAUAGGUCUGGGAUCUUCACUUGUAGGAUUCUUGGGGAAUCAACUAAAGUGUGUCCUGCUCAUAGAGACUAGGCAGAGAUCAAGUGCAUGGGCUUUGGUGGUGGGAAAACAACAAAUAGAACCAAAAGGUUUUGUUCAUUAUUCUCUAACCUUAGGCGCAUUGAACGAGACAAAGUUGAUAUGUGUGGUUUGCUCUAUUUAAACAUGGUUGAUAGCAUCAAAGAAUGUGACAUUGAAACACUUAGCAAAUUAUAUUACUCAACCAUAAGGGAGGAUAGUCUGCCUAUGCAUAUAACUUCAUGAUUAUAACUAUCAUCUUCCAAAGACAGGAUGCACAACAUCCCAGAUCAUUGAUUGAAAGGCUAUGAGGCUAAGAAAGUGAUGCUAGGAACAAUCAUAAAGAAUUGAACAUGUUGAGUUAAUUAGAUUGGAUCAAAUGCGGUUGUAACUCAAAGCAUGUUUGGCUCUCUACUUAUGUACAUGCUAGAAUCAAGAAGGAAAUUUUGGAAGUAAUGAUCACUUACCUAGAGAUGUUACCUUUAGUAUUGAAGCAUGUUGAAGACAUAACAUCUUGUGGAAGCUUUCCUUGCCUGGCUAGUCACGUGUAUUGUUCAUCCACCAACUAUCUUCUCUAUUGCUCUCCUUUCUUACCUUAUGCCAUUAUUUGUUCUCUAUCUAAUUUGUGCGUGGACCUUUAACUCUUCUUAUUAUUUUAUUCCUGCAAACCAUUAGUGGACAACAUAUAUUCGAUGGAAUAUACAAGAAAUGACAAGGGCAUUGUUGUUACACAGCUAAGGGUCACUUUCUAUACUACAAAAAGGAAUUUGCUUGAGCAUACUUAGCAUAGCACAUUUAUUAUUCAUAGUUACUUAUUUCUAAAGGUUUGAUUAUUUUCCACCUUAUAUUUUGAUUCACAAAUAUAGGCAUUAUGAAUCAAUUCAAACUUAUAGAAAUAAAAUAAUAGUGAAUUUAGAGAUUGCAAACUAGUGUGUGGAGCGAUGGGAGCAUGAGAUGUGGAAGAACUUGGUUGGAUCAUCUGGAGGGGUUAACCUUCCUUCCUUAUGUCUUAGCUCCUCAACCUAAGAGGUGAGAGUGCAACACGUUGCAUGCUCUUCUCUUGUCAAUCUUUUCUUGUUUCCUGAUAAAUAGUGGUUGACAAGAGAAUGCAACUCCAUGGAGUGAGUGCUUUGAUUGUGGAUCAUGUUUUGUGACACCCAUAUUUCUUCUUGGCUAUGAGUGAGUAGUGUCUCCCUUGUGCAAAAUUAUCGUGCCUCUCUUCAUCGCCAGUGUGAGUUCAUCUUAGGACUUUCCCAUUUUGGCAUUAAAAGUUUUUCUGCAGGGGUUAGUCCAACAAAAUAUCCAAUAGCUACUAUAGCAUACUAUCGAUUCAAAAAUCAACCUAGACACCAUGUCUAAUUUGAUUCAAGGAGGCAUUUUAACCUAAGCACCACGCUUAAUUUAAAAAUCCUUUAAGAGUAAGAUCAACACUCUUAAACUAGGCACCAUGCUUAAUUUAAGAGAUGUAUGAAACUACUCCAAACCUAAACAUAUACUAUAGCAAACAAAGGCGACAUAAGAGCAUUAUAGAGGUUUACUAAACAGUGAUAAUAAAGCAUGACUAUUGUUUAGCAAAUUGGGCAUAUCUUAAAGGUAGAGGCAACCAGGACAGUACAACAACAUGGAAAGAGAUGUAUCUAUGGAAGUAUAUCCCCCAAGCUUGACUUUUGCAAAAAUCAAGUUUGGAUGAAAGUAAUUCAAUGUUGCAUAAUGAUUGGUUGGACAUACUGUAACACCCUAAAAAUUUCAUCUUUCCAAAUAGGGUAAAAUGACUUAAUUAAUUGUUUGUGAGCACUAAAGUGUAUGAAGAAAUGAAUUUUUAUUGAAUUAAAAGUCACCAUAAGGUUUAGACACAUGUUUGUGCAUCCAUGCUGCUGCAUAUGUUUUAUUGAGUGGUGUUUCUUUAAAUUCAAAAUGGUUUUUAAAUCCUUUUAAAUGGCUUGAGAAAAAGGCGUGUAAAUGUAAAGGAAAAAGACUUAUUCUCUCCCUCCCCCACUCUCGGGCUCGGCCCAGUCUUCCCCCCCCCCCCCGCGGCCUGUUUCCCCCAUUCAUUCUUCUCCUACGCGGCCCAGUGCCCAAUCCCCGGUCCAUGCAGAAGCAGCCCAGCAGCCACACGCCUCUCCUCUUCACUGCAGCCGCUGACAGAGGUGGCCCACGCCCCGUGUCAGUGCCAGACUCGGUGGAGAUUUCGCACCGGCCACGCGCGAUCCCCGUCAACCCCCUACCCAAUCCUCGCACACCGAGGAGGCUUUAAAUAGCGGCCUCCGCUCCGCCGCAACCCCCUACCCAAUCCUAGCACCAGCCGCCGGCAUAGUUCUCACCGAAAAACACCGACGAGAUCCGAGUCGAAGCCAAUCCGCCGCUGCGACGCGUCUUAGCCUCCGUGAGCGACUUGCCGAGCUUUGUUUCCGUCUUGCGAAGUCACCGAGGCCUUUUGUUGGCACUCUCUUGCUCCCUAUGCUUGCCUAACCUUUGCCAAACCAUUUUGCAGAGCCGCUGUCCACCGUUCAUCGUCGGGAGCCCAAGCCGGCUUCUCUCCGUCCCAUUUCUUGCCUCAGGUGAGUGCGCACCGAGCCCCUGUGCGAUCCCGUGCUUUUAGUAUGCGCUCUACUGCUCUAAGUCGCCAGAUUGGCCAACUCUGGCCAACUUGGCCAUGGCGUCGCCGCGGCCUAUGUAAUACCCGAUUUUAAGGGCAAAACUAGAUAUGCACCAUAUGUGAGUUUUAGAAGCCAAGUCUCACAUAUAGCUACAAAUGAGGGGUAAUAUCAAAAGACAAUGCAUAAACAUAUAACAUACUUACUAUAAAAGAGAUAACCUUUAAUAGCAAACAACGGAUAGAGAACUCCAACAUCGGGUAUUAACUUCUCUCUACAGAAUCCAACUGACUGGUUGAUCACAAGCCCAAAACUUCUCCUGAAGGGUGUGGGGAAUAGCAAGAGUGAGUCCAUGUCGAACUCCACAAGUAUAGCAACUUGAUUGUAUAGCUCCCAUAAUCUCAUGAUCAAUGUGACAUAAAUAAUGUAGAGCAUUAAAUAAUAAAUAACAAGCAUAUUUAACACACAAGAAUCAUCAUCAUCGAUGCAAGAAUCCCCAAGGCCGCUCUUGACCGUGAGCAUGGCUAGUAUACUAGUUUUAACACUCUGCAGAGGUUGUACAUCUUUACCCAUGAGUCAUGAUUUACCCUUUCGCCCGAGGUGAUCAGCGUCUUAACCCACUUCCAAGGAAGGCUGGCAAGGAUCACUAUGAAGCCUUUCAAAAGUUCGUCUAACAUAUUAGGGCCGCAAGGUUUUCUUUGCACGCAGAUAUAGAGCCCCCCUUCUGAUGGCACAAUGACUCGCAGCCUAUACAUAUACAGACAGAGGCCACACUAUACCCAAAACGGUUCAGCCCCUCCGCCCUUUCGGGUAUCCUCUAACAAGCUAGAAAGGGUCUUCAUACUGAGCUAAAGCCAGAGCCAUUAUAGCCCUCAUGGUUGCACUGUUGUCCCGGUUAUCACUUACAGAUAAAUCAUCAAGUUGCUAAAAAGUCAUUUUUAUCAUUUAUUACUUAACAUUAAUCUAGUCAUAGGAUCAUGGAUCAUGGUCACAAAAAUAAAACCCAAAUGCUAUACUUGCCUUCAUCCAAAUGCUCUUGUUGAUCCUGCUGGUCUUACUAGUUGCCAAGGCUCUGAUCUUGAUCAAUAAAGCCUCUUGUUCAACACAGAUUGCUCACUGUCUAAACUCGAUCAUCGAUCACCAACACAUAACAAUCGAAGAUAAACAUACACGAAGCAAACAAGACUACAAUUAGAACAGUACACCAAUCAUAUAAAAACAGUAUAGAGAGUUCAUAAAAAGAUUGUACGCAGCGCUACGAUAUCAUAGACGUAAAGAUCACGAAAAUCGGAGCUAAAACGGACAAGUUAUGAAUUUUCUAAGAUUUUAUAUAGAAAAGUAAUUAAUUAAUUAGGGUCACGAAAAUAAAAAGUUUCAAACUGAGAAAACAAUGUUACUAACAUGUAGAGCUGAUUAAUACGAAUCCAACGCAAUUUGAAUGGGUCAAAACGGAGUUAAGAUGAAUAUUUUAUGGCCAAAAGAAAGUCAGUGGCAAUUCUGUAAAUAGUGAAAACGUAUUUUUAAUGUAAAACCGAGCUGUUUGUGUUUUCCAAACUGAAAGACAAAGUGAUUGGGGCUUACGUUGAUGGAUAGAGAGUAGGUUCACCGGUAGUGACGCUUUCUUGGAGCUACAGCAACGCCGGAGCAACCGACCGUUCGUAGAUGUCGUGUAUAAGCGAGACGAUGACGAACACGUUGUAGAGAAGAAAAUAUAAAUUUUAUUUUACUACCUUACGAAUUCUAAAUUAGAGGCUUUCUAUAUGAUAGUCUUUGAUGUGCUUUGUCUAAGGUGUUGGUACAUAUAUAUAGGGAGAAAAACUCCCCAUCUCCACGUCAACUAGCGAUAUGGUGCUAAUUGAUUUGAAACCUUCAUCUUUACUAAUAGGCCUAAUUAAUUAUUAAAGCCCAUUAGUAAAUAAAGACAUUGACCAUUGAGAUCAUGGGCUUGAGCGUGUGAUAAAAUGAAAGAUUUUAUUAUUUUCGAAAUUAAUUAAUUUGGCGAAUAAAAUAAUCCUAGAAAAGUCUAAAAUUAUGAUUGAAGCCACGAAAAAUACUCCGAAAGCUUCGAAAAUUCAGGAAAAAUUCUCAGAGAUAUUAUAGAACAUGGGGAACCCGAAUAAAGCUUUUGGAGCUCAUCAGAAGAUUGUUUGGAGCAUCUAAAAAUUAGACCAUGCACACAGAAAAGUGAGAACAGUAGCUGAAAAAAUUUCCAAAAAAUUUGUAGAGAGUGCUUGAUGGACGAGGAACUAAAAGAAGUGCUUUGAGUGGCAAAGAAAAUAUUUUAAGAAGGUCCUAAUAAAAAUUUAAGCUUAGAAACAAGGAAUUUGGUUGUAGAUAAAAGAUAAAUACCUGCCGAAUAAGGAAGAUCGAUCUACUAAACGUAUUUUAAAUAUUUUUCAUACUAUCAACACAUAAAAGAGCAACAAGCAUCACAUCAAAACACAUACACCAGCCUGUAUGCAUAAUAAUAUUGCUAAGCCUUAUGAUAAAUUUUAAUUUAAUAAAAAAAUAUUAUUUUUCCUAUAUUUUCAUGAGCACAAAAAUACAAAAUUAUAUAAUUUUAUCUAUAUUUUAAAAGGAGUAAAUUUUAGGGUGUUACAGCCUACCCCAGCUCCGGCCGGCCGGCUUCAACCCCCCCCCCCCCCGCCAUGAUCUAAUCUCAGCCACCCAUCCGCGAUUCAACGGCCCCAGAUGAAGGGUACCCCUUCGGCCGUGCGUUUUGCAAAACACCCCCCUAAUUUUUUAAAGACUCAACCCGCAGUCCUUUGCGGUUUUCCCUGAAUGCGUUUUCUAAUCCUGAAAGCGUAUUCUCGCUUACAUAGUUCAAAUACGCUUUCUCAAAAUUACAGUUUUGCCAUUGAUCUUAUUUAACCCAUAAAAACUCCGUUUUAACUCUGAUUUGAUCCGUUUAAAUUGCGUUAGAUUCAUUUUUGCAUAACCUAUAGAUUAGUGGCACUGUUAUACAUGUUUCCAACUUUUAAAAUCUGAGCUUAGAUUUAAUCUAUUAUUUUAUUAAAGGCAAUCUUAUUUAAAUCAUGACUUCUUCGUUUUAGAUCUAAUUUUAGUGAACUUUACGUCUGUGUGACCGUAGAGCGAUGUAGAUUCAUUUUAUAAACUUUUUAUCUUUAUUUAUUACUGUUGGUGUGCUGUUCUAAUUAUAGGCUUGUUUGCCUUGUAUGAUUGUCUUUGGGUGAUUGCUGUUGAUGUGGUGAUUACGUUUAGGCGGUGAGCAGUUCGUGGGUGACCAAGAGUACUACUACGAGCAGGAUCAGCAGGACUAGUGUGAUCAAGGCAAGUAUAACAUGGAAUCAUCCUUGUUUCCUAAUAAUUUUAAUCACACAAUUCAUAUUGCAUGUGUCUCCUUGUUAAGGAUUUUCUAGUAUUGAUCUUAUAACUUGUCACCUAUGGUUAUGCAUUGGGUAGCUUGUACUAGUGCUCCACUAAACCAUGAUCUUGUAAUUUGAUUAAUGGAAUAUGCAAUAAACAUUAAAAGAUGACUUUUAGCAACUUUAGAGAAGAGCGCUAGAGCAUUGGGCUAUCUUCUGGUGCUCUAGUUUCUCUCCAUAAGGACUUAUCUGUAUAUGACCAUCCGGGACAUACAGUACAACUGUGAGGGCUACAUGGCUCUAGCUUUAGCUCAGUAUGAGGACAUUUUCUAGCUUGUUAGUGGUUACCCUUGCGGCUCAAAUGGGGGAUAGCCGACCGUGGAUUCCUGCGGGUGGAUCACACGGAAUGACUAACGAAACCAAGCUGCCCUAACUUGUUAGACGAACCUUUGAAAGGCUUCACAGUGAACCCUACCGGUCUUCUUUGGGAGUGGGCUAAGGGGCUGAUCACCUCGGGCUAAAGGGUAAAUCACGACUCACAGUGAAAGUGUACAACCUCUGCAGAGUGUAAAACUGAUAUAUCAGCCGUGCUCACGGUCACGAGCGGCCUUGGACCAAUACAGAAUAAAUAAUCACUAAUGGCAAAUCAUUAAAUGUUAAUAUUGUUAAUAUGUUGUUUAUGCUAUUCUUUAUUCACUUUACUUGGUCAUGAGUUUAUUUUGGGUCUUAACAACUUGAUGCUACUCAUAUGCUAAAAUUGUGACAACUAAAAGCUACAUGCAGGGAAACUCGUGUCUAGCCUUUGAGCCUCAUGAACCCCAUUUACACUUGUUAAGUACAAGGUGUACUUACACUUGUUUAUUUUCUUUAUUUGGAUAAAAAUCCCAGAUGGAUAACAGAUGGCAUGGGUAAUGACUACUACCAGUACUUCCCUGAGGAUUUCUAGUCUUGUGGUCAACGAGUUGACGUGCCUAUGUGAUGGAGCUUCCAUGCAAGAGUUAUCUUUUAUUUCCACUUUAUUUAUGUGAAGACUCUGAGAUAUUAUCGUUAUGUAAUGAACACUUGUGAUGAUACUCCCUAUAAUUUGUCGGCUUAUGUGUUAUUGAUCUCUGGGCACACAUAAGGUUUUGCAUUCAAUUGUAUCCUUAAAAUUGGGUGUGAGAAAUUGGUAUCAGAGCCGUGUUGACUGUAGGACGCAAGCCUAGAUAGAAAUGGUCGUUUUAGUUGUCUUAUCUUCUCUACUUUCAUGCUUUCCAUCUUACUCUUGUUAUUUGCUAAAAAUUUAUAUGCUUCUACCCUAUCACUCUAUUAUUGAAUUAUUGCUUCUAAUCUAACUUCUCUCUGGUCUAUUCUAUAGAUUAUUCGUGCCAAUAAGACUGCUCGUAUCUCAACUAGAGGAUACCACCCACCUCGUUACCAGUACGAGCCUAAGGAGCCACAAGAGGAGAGUUCACCGGAACAUGAGGAGACUCCACCACCUUCAGAACAAGCAUCUGAACCAGAGCUAUCGCAAGUGGAGUCUGAACCAGAGGAGGAUCCCUAGGAGGUCAUACUAAUUUCUGAUGAUGAAGAAGAAGGUGCCCCCGGAGGAAGUUAAACCCCAUCACCGCCACAAGAUGAACCUACUGAAGCCCUCGUGCAACGCUCCGUCGCAUCACUGUUGACGGUCCUUAAGUAUCAAAUUUAAUUAUCAAAUAAACAAAGAAAAGGAUCCAAAUGAAAUCAACAUCUAGACUUAGGGUUUUAUCUGACAGAAUUCCACGAGUUUUGGUGUUUGUCUAUUUCUGUAGGGGGUUAUCAGGAAAUAAGGAAGAAAGGCCCACAUGUCGGGAUUACAUAGAGAUAUCAACCCACCGCGCAAUUUUCUACCAUCUAGAAGACUCCAGAAGCCACGGGAAGGAAGCGGAGCCCGAAAGGGGCCAGGCCCAGGGCGCCCGCCCUAAGGACCUGGGCGCCCUCCCACCUCUGGACCCCGUUCCGGACUCUCUCCGCACACGACGUUCCACCGACCUAUUGGAUCCAGAAUAACAUAGUACCACCUCGCCUAUCGACCCAAAAACGCAUAGAAGGGGAGGACUAUAUAAGGAGACCCCCUCUGGCCCCUAGAGGAGACAAGAAAUUAUCAUAGAGAUUGAGGGGUGCCCUCGAAGGAAAACCUCUUCUCUAAAUAAUAUUUCUUUUUAGGCUUAGCAACCAAUGUAAAGUAGAAAUAGAUCUUCUAGUUUCUACUAGAUUGAGAGAGAUAGAGUGGAGGUGUGGAUCGGAGGAAGGCCGGCCUGUCGGUGUCUACUCCGAGUUGUACCUACGGGAUCAAGUCUCCUAACCCGAGGCUUGCUUCUAAGAUUCUUCAGUAAUUCGACUUCUAAUACUAGUAAGUUCUUGUUUUAUUGUUCUUUGGUUUAUGAGUUUACUUUAAUCCUCUUCCGGUUGAGUAUUAGAGUAAUCACUUGUUAGCAUAAACGUGGUGUUUAGGCUAGGGUACUCAUAGAUAUCCCCUGACUAGCUGGACCGUGGUAGUAGCGAGGAACGUGACAUUUCCGAGUUACCUUUGUAGAUCACAUCUCGUUAGCAGGACGGGUAGGUUUAUAGGUGCGGGUUGAACAUCCUUUGUGUUGUCUAGAUUCCGUGAGCCUCCCCAAUAGAACAGUAGAUCAUCCUUACCAAGGUUAGAACGAGACUACGGUUGCAGUCUUCUCUAUACAUCACUCACAUCGAGAGACAUUCUUUGUAGCCUAAAGGGAUAGUAGCAAUAGAUUUGGUUAGUCAGAUGCACCCUUUCUCCCAGUGGUAAAAAUAUAAAUACGAUAACUCUGGAUAACCUCCCGGGUGAAAUGCUCACCGAUAUCCGUGCGCUUGCGGAUCAUUUUCUAAUUGCGUUACCAAAUAUCAACAAGCAUUUCUGGCGCCGUUGCCGGGGAGAAAGACGGUUUGCUGAGAUAACUUUGAAUCUUGCUAUUAUCUUGUAUUAUACUUUUAUACUUUUAAUCUUUUAUCUUUUUAUUUUUUCCAUCUUUAUGGAUAACUCAAAUUCCAUACCUAUUAUUGAAUUCUUUGCACCUUCGGAGACCAGCCAUAGACCAUGGGAGUCAACACGUCCUGCCCCUAAUUAUGAUCUGUGUCCGGAGUUGAUUGCAAUAGGUCAAAACCAACCCUUUUCUAUAGCCGAGGUCCUAUCUUUUAAUCAAAAAGAUAAUGCACUUUUAGCUACACCUAGGGAAUCUUUUAAUUUUUCUAUAAAUUCUGGUUUAGACCUAGCCCUACAAGACCAUGUUUUUCCUAGAUAUUUUCACAUUGGUCUUAAUCAUAUAACCUUUGGUAGAGUUCUUCUUUCUUUAUCUAUUAGUAAAGGAAGGUAUGUCUUCAUUCGUGGACAUCCUUCUUGUACUAGUCUUCAUAGAAAAAUCUUAGAGAUAGAGAAGGAAUCAUCUCCCAGACGAGGAAAGGAUGUUUCAAUAGCCAAUUUCCAAACAUUUCAAUCCCAUAAUUCGGCUAUCUAACCCAUCCUUGAGUUUAAUAAUUUCUACUAUGCUCUUUCUCUUGAACCUCCCGAUAAUCCUAUGAAUCUCUCUAGACAUCCCAUGCAUAAGAAGGAGGAUCGAGAAGAGCAACAUCAAUGGCUAGAGGGCAUUAAAAAUCCAUGUGCUAUCACCAUUGAAUGGAUAGAUAAAACAAACUUGAGAGACAAUCCUAGAGGAAUUUUAAGCAUUCAUGAAGGAUCAUCCUUGGAGUUUGAGAAUGAGAGAAACAACAGUGAGCAUGGAAGUUAUUUCAUAAAUACCUUACGAAGUCCUUGCUCAUAUAAAACAUCUCCCCAAUCAAUUGGUCUCUCCGUCCUUACCACAUUUGAGAUCUCCAACCCUCUCUUCCUUUCUAUUUAUAACAACUUUAAAAGAGCGGUUGUCGAUGCAUAUGUCUAUAAUAAAUAUUGCAGAUCUCGUUGAGUUGAUCUUGAUAUAGGUUGGUGUUGGAGGGGAAACCACUUCACCAACAUAACUUGAUGGUUUCCCAAGGAUAAGCUUAGCGUCCUUAAACAAGCACUUAUCAUAUCGUAACAUGAACUUCUAAUUAUUUGCAACAUUGCCUUGUGUAUUGAGCAUAUUGAGAUAAUUGUAGAAAUAUUCCUUCGGGUAUUCUUGUCACUAACCUUUCCAGGAUUGGAGCAAGAAGAUCGGAUGAAUGACAAGCACAAGGUAUGUCCAACCAAUCAUCAUGCAACAUUGAAUUAAAUUCAUCCAAUCUUGAAUUUUGCAAAAUUCAAGCUUGGGGGAGUACUUUACAUAAAAACAUCAUUUGCCAUGUUGCUAUGUUGGUUGUCCUUACCUUUGAGGCAUGCUCAAUUUGUUAAAUACUAAUUACACUACUUCACCUCCACUUGAGUAGAUCUCUAUAAGUGCUCUCAUGCUACCUUUAUUUGCUUUAGUAUAUGUCUAGGUUUGGAGUAGUUUCAUUUAUCUCUUAAAUCAAACAUGGUGCUUAGUUUAGGAAUGAUGAUCUUACUUCCAAAGGAUUUUUAAAUUAAGCAUGGUGCUUAGGUUAAAAUGCCCUCCUAAAUCAAAUUAGACAUGGUGUCUAGGUUGAUUUUUGAGCCGAUAGUAUGCUAUAGUAGAUAUGGGAUAUUUUGUUGGACUAACCCUUGCAGGAAAACUUUCAAUAUCAACCUGGGAAGUCCUGAGAUACAAACUCAUUGGAGAUAAAGGAGACACAUGAAGUUUAACAAUUUGCACAAGAAGGACAUAGCUCAUUCAUCAUAAAGAGAUGAUCUAUGGAGGGUGCCACAAACACGAUGCACAACCGCUAAGAAAGGAAAACUUCCACAAGGUGAUACUGUACCGUCACUCUUCAAGUAAGGUAACAUUUUAAGUUACUUCACUAUCACUUUUAUAAGCUUCUCCUUGGUUCUAGCGUUCACAAACAUGUAUGAUUUGUAGCUCCAAAUUAAUCAACCCAAUUAAUUCAACAUGUUUAGUCCUUUAAUCUUUGUUCUUAGUACUACCUUCGUGAUCCCACACUCCUAAUCAUAUAAGCUAAAGUAUUGCACAUUCAAUCUUUGGAAGAUAUAAACAAAACAUAAAUAUAGAUAGAUUAUCUUUCCAUUAGGUUGAGCCAUCUGAUCUAACAAAUGUUUUAAAUGCUACACUCAUGAUCCAUCAACUUUGUCUUGCUCACUAUGCUUAAGGUUAGAGAAGAACAAAUACACUUUUGGUUCUGUUGGUGUUUUCCACCAACAGGGCCCAUGCACUUGAUCUCUGCCUUGUCUCUAUGAGCAGGACACAUUUUGAGAAACGUGAAGGCGUUUUACAACUCCCAGAUUCCAUCAAGUGAAGAACCGACAUCUACGAGCACAAACACAAUGGAGAUCAGACACUUAGUUUCCCAAAAGAAAUAUUGAAGAACCUCUGUGUCUGAGUUGGUACCAUGUAUGCUCCAGCAAACUUCGUGGUGAUAGAGACUGGUAGUGAGGAGAGAGCACCCAUCAUCUUAGGGAGGCCAUUCCUAAACACCAGAGCAGUCAUCUAUGCUAAUGCUGCCAAGAUCAGUCUCUACAUCAAGGGGAAGAAGGAGAGUUUCCUUCAAGAAGAAGACUACACAAGCUUCAGAGCAAUCCCGACAUGAACCAAGGAAGAGGACCAACAGGAGGAAAAGGAACAAGCAAAUGUGGACCGAGUCAGCUAAGAUGGUCACUGCAGCUCAAGGAGGUCAAGAUCGUCGACUCAAGUCACCUUUCUUGAUUAAGAAGAACGACCCUGGUGUUCCAAGAAUCGAAUGCACAAACAAUGGAUACUCUUUUUAGAAGACACUCUACGACACCGGAUCUGACGACAACAUAAUGGCCGCAGUCACUUAUCAGCUCCUGCAUAGAACCAUGCCCCUACAACCAAGAUACAUUCAGCUUCAAACAACUUUCAGGUCAUUGACAUGGGAGAAGACAAGUAUGAUCCAUCCACCAUCCUUGGAAGACCGUUCCUAAACACUAUCAAAGCCAUUAUCUAUAUUGGAACCGGAGAAGUCCACAUGCACUUUCCCUCUGAGAAAGGUACGCCACUACUUUAAUGAUUAUAUAGUUGAAGAUUCUAAGCAGGUCAGGACAAGAAGAAGACAACGCAACCGCAACCAGAGGAGGCAAAUCAUGAAGGACGGAUGGGUAGACUACGAAGGAGAAAUGAUAAGGUCUGAAGACAUACAGCUUGAAUAGAAAUGUCCUGAGGAGACCGUAGCACCGAGUCAGAAAGAGAAGAUAGUUAUACACGAAAAGGAGGCACCACCGGAAUCACCGACUACGUCAUCCAGCGAAUCCCAGGACGACUGAGAAAACGGAGAGUCCCGUUCGGAGGACUUAAAAACACCGAACGCCUUGCCAAGAGGUAAACUUGGUAGUUAUCCUUUCCCUUUUAAUUAUUUCAAAUAGUUUACUUAGUUAAUCAUGUUCGUAUUAUCCUAGAAAGAAAAUAAAAAUGUGAAAAAAACUGUAAGCCCCAUGUGAGUAGACGAGUGGCAUAAAACCCAUAAGUACAUUCACUGUGGUGGCAUAAAAAUAAAAUAAAUAUUUUUCUACUUUAUAAAAUCAAAAAUAUAAAAACAGGGAGUAAUAUUUAUUAAGGAGUCUCAACAUGAUAAAGACUAGAUAUUUAUGAUAACACUUAAUCAGUUCCACAAGCUUUGUUGUCUAUUUGAGCUCCACAGAAUUUAAGAAUCAAGAAGACUAGCAGACGGAGGACAUUCUAAUCGCUGUCAAAAUACUGCUGACUUUCAAACACACCUCUGCCACCUGCUAGCUACAUCAAGAGAAAUUACGUCAAAAUUCAGCUUGGGGGAGAGCACCCCCAUUUAUCUCGAUAAGUAUUUCUAUCUAUCUUUAUACUUAUACUAUAUUAGAAUAUAAAUACAAAUAACUAUGAAAAACCAAAUAAAGAUUUUAUGCUUAUAUAUAUUUUGCUUAGUGUGUUUAAUAAAUAAAUAAAGUGGCUAUGCUAAUCUGUAUCUAAUAAAACUUAAGCAUGGAUAUGAUGAAUAGUUGCUCUGCCUAAUUUGCAAAUCUGAAGUUCUCUUUCAAGUUUAGAUAUAACUGUUAUAAUCUAAGGCUUGCUCUAGACCUAAACUUGUGGGAUGAAAACUUGAUCUGAAGUCUAAGUUGUUAACGGAUACGAUAUGGGAAGGUUGAGCUGCUGUUUAUCUGUUCCUAGAGAUGCUAGAAUUCUGGAGAAUUUUAUCUUUGAAAAUCUUUAAAAUGUUGCAUGAUGAGUUCCUGUAUGAUGAGAGUUUAAAUUCCUACCACAUCCAUAUAUACAUGCUUGCUAGACCUUGAGCCACACAUUUACUAUUUACUGCUUAUGAGCAUUGAGUGUGGUCAAGCUGUGUAGACCCUUAGGAGCUUGUCAUGUGGUUAAAUCAAGAUUCACUUGCACGUUCACUCAUACAUGCUACUUCUACUCCGGAAGUACUAUCCAUUCAUUUCCAUCUCCAAAACCACCCAAAAGUAUUCUACUCCUAAUCCGGGAGAGAAUAGCCAAAAACAUUUUCCUAUCCCUGUUAUUCCCUGUGAAAUAAAUGCUCCAGUUAUUUUGGUUACUACCACUUGCUACAUUAUUUCAGGAGAUGAGUGCUCUAAAAAAAGAGAGAGAGAGAGAAAAAAUGAAUACGAGGAAAUAAAAAGGGGCAAGUGCCCGGAACCUCGAAGAAAAAGAAAAAAACUGAGACGAAAGGUAAAAAUGGACAAGUGUCUGACAGUAGAAUUAGGGGUACAAGAUACCCACCUGAGAGGAAAGAAAAAGAAAAUAUAGAGCAUCUCAUUAUCCUCAAAAAGCUUCAAAGUGCAAGAAAGGUAUGUAUCCCCUCAAAAGAGCAAAAGUAGAAUUAGACUUUCACCAUUGUUAUCACCAUCAUCACCAUACACCAUUCAUUCGCCACACAUACACAUCUUGAUUUGGCUUAUUGAUUUGAUUCUUUGGAUCCAUGGUUUGACUAUGCAAUAAAUGUCUUGUAAGUAUGUAUACUUUAUCUCCCACCUAUGAGCUUCAGAUAUUAAAGCCUUAUUAGAGUAGGGUGAGAGAGAAGACAAUGUCACUAUGCUUCAUACCACAAAUACUACAUAUCUUGAGAGAAGGCAUAUACCAUCACUGCCUUGGUAAGGAUCCAAAAAUACCACAAAAGAGAGACCUGAGAGAAUCAUACAAGGAAUUUCUGAGUUUUAUUUGAAAAUCUGCAAAAACCCCAGAGCUAUAGCUGAUCAAGAAUAAGAGACAUGGCACUUGGCUAGACUGUUCUAUCUUUUAACCACUCAAGAUAGAAGUGACGGUUACAAGUCCUAUGGUGUAGGUAAAGUAAGUAAGUUUUAAGUCUUAACAGUUUAUUCUAACUCAGAGAUGAGAUCUUGCUUAAAUGCGUGUGUACUUCUAAGAAAUGAAACCACUGCAGAAACUCUUGAGUUCAUCCUUGCUCAGGGACGAGCAAGAGGUAAGCUUGGGGGAGUUUGUUGACGGUCCUUAAGUAUCAAAUUUAAUUAUUAAAUAAACAAAGAAAAGGAUCCAAAUGAAAUCAACAUCUAGACUUAGGGUUUUAUCUGACAGAAUUCCACGAGUUUUGGUGUUUGUCUAUUUCUGCAGGGGGUUAUCAGGAAAUAAGGAAGAAAGGCCCACAUGUCAGGAUUACAUAGAGAUAUCAACCCACCGCACAAUUUUCUACCAUCUAGAAGACUCCAGAAGCCACGGGAAGGAAGCGGAGCCCGAAAGGGGCCAGGCCCAGGGCGCCCGCCCUAAGGACCUGGGCGCCCGCCCACCUCUGGACCCCGUUCCGGACUCUCUUCGCACACGACGUUCCACCGACCUAUUGGAUCCAGAAUAACAUAGUACCACCUCUCCUAUCGACCCAAAAACGCAUAGAAGGGGAGGACUAUAUAAGGAGACCCCCUCUGGCCCC